UGCGGCUUGUGGUAAUUUGUGAUGGACUAGUUGGAGCACCCCUGCANNNNNNNNNNAUCCACUUUGCAUAGACGGUGUGUCCUGAGAAUGAGAUACGCGGCUCCUAUUGGGUUCGUCGACACACCGGGUGGCCUUGCUGGAUUAGUUUUACCUUUGACGAGAUAUCUUGUCCAUCGGGAUUCCGGUGAUGCUUUGGGUAAUCUGAGAGUUGAGGUUUUCCACUAGGAAAUCCAACGAGAUCGCGAGCUUCGUNNNNNNNNNNUCGGAAAGUUGUGCCCGCGGUUAUGUGGCAACGUGGAAGCUUUGUUUAACACUGGUUCUAGAUAACUUGAAGUUAACUUAAUUAAAACUUGCCAACUGUGUGCGUAACCGUGACUGUCACUUUCGUGAGUUCCUUCUCAGAUCGAGGACACGGUGGAGUUAUGUCUGACGUAGGUAGGUGUUCAUGAUCAUUCAUUUGAUCAACUGUAGUUCACGUACGCUAUGUGUAGAUCCUCCCCCUCUUUGUUUUCUUGUACUCGUAAGUUUAGCCACCAAAUAUAUGCUUAGCCGCUGCUGCAACCUCACCACUUAACCAUGCCUCACCCAUUAAGCGUUGCUAGUCUUGAUACCUUUGGAAAUGAGAUUGCUGAGUCCCCUGUGGNNNNNNNNNNUGACGUAGGUAGGUGUUCAGGAUCAUUCAUUUGAUCAACUGUAGUUCACGUACGCUAUGCGUAGAUCCUCCCCCUCUUUGUUUUCUUGUACUCGUAAGUUUAGCCACCAAAUAUAUGCUUAGCCGCUGCUGAAACCUCACCACUUAACCAUGCCUCACCCAUUAAGCGUUGCUAGUAUUGAUACCUUUGGAAAUGAGAUUGCUGAGUCCCCUGUGGCUCACGGAUUACUACAACACCAGUUGCAUGUACAGGUAAAGGUUACUUGACGCGAGCGCGUUGAUUGUUCAUUUGGANNNNNNNNNNCUCACAGAUUACUACAACACCAGUUGCAGGUACAGGUAAAGGUUACUUGACGCGAGCGCGUUGAUUGUUCAUUUGGAGUUGCUUCUUCUUCUUCUUCUUCAUUGAUCUAGGAUGGCUUCCAGGCCGGCAGCCUGGGAUAGCAAGGAUGGACGUCGUUCUUCUUUUGUCGUUUGUUUUCGUCCGUAGUCGGUCCCUGCUCUUACUCUUGAUAAAUAUGUACUAUACUGCUGUGACUCUCAUGUAGCUUGUGGCGAGUGUAAGCCAAUUCUAUAUAUAUAUAUAUAUAUAUANNNNNNNNNNAUACUUCUUCAUCGAUCUAGGAUGGGNNNNNNNNNNNNNNNNNNNNNNNNNNNNNNNNNNNNNNNNNNNNNNNNNNNNNNNNNNNNNNNNNNNNNNNNNNNNNNNNNNNNNNNNNNNNNNNNNNNNGAUGUAGUUUGUGGCGAGUGUGAGCCAAUUCUAUAUAUAUAUGCUCUUCUUUUCAGUACAUGUACUUGUAACGAUAUCAAUUCUUGCAACAUGACGAGAUGCGCUUCUAUCCCUGACGAGGCCUUCGUGCCAUAUUGAGGAUAGGGUCGCAUCUUGGGCGUGACAAGUUGGNNNNNNNNNNCAUGUAGUUUGUGGCGAGUUUAAGCCAAUUCUAUAUAUAUAUAUGCUCUUCUUUUCAGUACAUGUACUUGUAACGAUAUCCAUUCUUGCGACACAACGAGAUGCGCUUCUAUCCCUAACGAGGCGUUCGUGCCAUAUUGAGGAUAGGGUCGCAUCUUGGGCGUGACAAGUUGGNNNNNNNNNNNNNNNNNNNNNNNNNNNNNNNNNNNNNNNNNNNNNNNNNNNNNNNNNNNNNAUGGCCGAGUCGAGUCUAGUGAAAAACUGCUUUGAGUCUAGUUAAAUAUCGGAGAGUAGGAUUCUUUUCUCUCCUCGUCUAUGCUCCGGUGAGGAAUCUUGACGUAAUAAUUUAAUUCUACUCCUCUUCUCACUCAAUUUUUUUUAGGAUCAGGCGGAUAUUUUUGAGAUCUAUAUGAUGCCGAUGUGACGGAGUUCUGUCUUGGUGCCUCCUAUCUGCUUUGAGUUUCAGGGGAGUUGAGCUCCAGGGCAUUCUUGAGCACAUCGUUAUCAUUCAGAUUUCUUAGUAUCUCAGAAGAAGGAUGUUCGUAAUUGCUUCAAUACUAGUAGUGGCGAGAUAACCCCGAUGUCCCCAGUACUGGUGCAGAUUGUUCGGGAGUACUGCCAUACUUUGUAUCGUUGUGAUCACGAGGGUCUGUUGUAGAUGAAGGUCCGAGAUUCUGGUCGUGUGUUGACGGAUGUGAUACAAGUGACGGGUUAGUAUAGGAGUUGUGUGAUGUUACUCCUUGAAUCCGUGUACCAAAUUGGAUGACCAGAUAUUUCGGGAAUUCAUAGGUGGGAAUUCAAGUAGUUGCUUAUAGGACAAUCUUCCAACAAAUGCAUGAUGUUAGGUUGGGGUUCGACAUUUAGUGGAUUCGUUUGUUCACGGUCGACUUACAGCGGUACACGUUGUGUCUUAAAGAGUCCUUGUAGCUUGCUAAGACUCGGGGACGCUUCGUAUGUCGGGUGCACUGCCUUGCACUUGAUGGCUUCUGUAAAUCGAGCCCGUGCGAUCCUGCCCACGAAAAUAUCGGACGAAAUCUCUCUCAUGAGUUUGUUCUGGCUUGUUUCAUAAGCCUCUCCCUUUGUUUUGUUGAUUAUGGUAAUUCAUGUUGCUUCGAUGUCAAGUGGUGAUUUCAGAUCUUUCCUAAUCUGUGUUCUCAUAUUUUUAUGUGAAUGCAAAUUCUUUGCUCAAUCAGAUCGUCUUAUCAAUUCUUUUCAACCGGAGUCAUCGUAUCAAUUCUUUUUCAACCAGUGUGUUUCUCUCCAAGUGAACUCAAUCCUAUCCAAUUUUGCAACAUCAUUCUCUCAUUUUAUUCCGGAGUUCAUCUCAUCUAGCCCAAGUUGUCUUUGUUUUUCCCCCGCCCUCCCGNNNNNNNNNNNNNNNNNNNNNNNNNNNNNNNNNNNNNNNNNNNNNNNNNNNNNNNNNNNNNNNNNNNNNNNNNNNNNNNNNNNNNNNNNNNNNNNNNNNNCGUGUCAUUCUUUUCUUCAUUCUCUUCUUCCGUAUGAGCGAGUUCCUAUUCUAUUGUUCCGGAGGAAUUGUGUUGUUGCUCUUUUGGGUCAAUUUUGUUGUUCUAUCAAGAUCAUGGUGUUCCCUUGCUCUAUUUACUUGUUNNNNNNNNNNGGUGUCAUUCUUCUCUUCAUUCUCUACUUCCGUAUGAGCUAGUUCCUAUUCUAUUGUUCCGGAGGCAUUGUGUUGUUGCUCUUUUGGGUCAAUCUUGUUGUUCUAUCAAGAUCAUGGUGUUCCCUUGCUCUAUUUACUUGUUUGUUGUGAAUAUUGUCUAUUUCUCCCAUCUUAUCGAUUUUUUUGUCCCAUUUUCCUACCGAAGUGCUGCCGAAAUUUUCCGUGAAUUCUUGCUUCCUUCUGAUAUCAGUCCUCAUCUCUUUGCAACCUUCAAGGAUUGUUGGUUUCACUCGUUUGUCAAAGAAGCGACUAAGUUUUUACCUCUUGUUCUUUCUCAUCCUCUCCCCCCUUUUCAUUCUUGGAUCUCGGGGUGAGAUCCUCUUGUAGUGUAGGAGAGUUGUGAGAGCCCGAUGCCGACGCCCCAGAAGAUUCCCCUUUAUUUCCGUUUCCGUCGUGUGGUUAGUUUUAUUUNNNNNNNNNNNNNNNNNNNNNNNNNNNNNNNNNNNNNNNNNNNNNNNNNNNNNNNNNNNNNNNNNNNNNNNNNNNNNNNNNNNNNNNNNNNNNNNNNNNNAAUAUGAUGCAUGAUCAGUUCAAUGAUGCAAGGGAUGGCAUGGCAAUUGACCUCACGCAGACACUACACAUUAAAUGAAGCUCGAUAUGCAUCGGGUUGCAUAUCGACGAAACUCCACGUUUAAUUAUUAGUUCACUCCCGUUAAUUUACACGGCAAUAUUAAAUUGUUGUUAACAUGGCAAGGGGUGAAGCGGGUGAUUCUACCUGGCAUCCUAGACGGUUAACUUGUAGAGCAUAGAACGGAGCUACGGCACAAGAACAUGCAACACAAGUUGUAUAUGUCAUGAAUGCGUCAUGCAUGCGAGUUCAAACAUCACGGGCAAGAAGAGAAAGAAACAGGUGUCGCCACGACGAGCGAGAGGGAACCAUGGCGGAAAAACGGAAACGAAGCCACGACAACGUUCCUAUCCCGAUAACUCGACGAGAUAUCAUGCCAACGAAUAGNNNNNNNNNNUCUCAUACAACACAUGUAUACGGUUCACGACACGUCACAUCGGUAUACCUUCGACGCAUGCGAAUCGGAGGGGUUCGGUCGAAGCGGACGUCAUGGAGGUCGUGGAAGUAGUUGUACUCGGUCUCGUCGACGGUAGUCGUUCUCUUGUCGGNNNNNNNNNNNNNNNNNNNNNNNNNNNNNNNNNNNNNNNNNNNNNNNNNNNNNNNNNNNNNNNNNNNNNNNNNNNNNNNNNNNNNNNNNNNNNNNNNNNNCGUCGUGUCGCAAGAAUGGAUAUCGUUACAAGUACAUGUACUGAAAAGAAGAGAUAUAUAGAAUUGGCUUACACUCGCCACAAACUACAUCUGAGUCACAUCAGUACAUUACAUGAUCAUCAAGAGUAAGAGGAGGGUCCGACUACGGACGAAAACAAACGACAAAAGAAGAACGACGUCCAUCCUUGCUAUCCCAGACUGCCGGCCUCGAACCCAUCCUAGAUCGAUGAAGAAGUAGAAGAAGCAACUCCAAAUGAACAAUCAACACGAUCGCGUCAAGUAACCUUUACAUGUACCUGCAACUGGUGUUGUAGUAAUCUGUGAGCCACAGGGGACUCAACAAUCUCAUUUCCAAAGGUAUCAAGACUAGCAAAGGUUAAUGGGUGAGGCAUGGUUAAAUGCUAAGGUUUCAGGAUCGGCUAAGCAUAUAUUUGGUGGCUAACUUACGAGUACCAGAAAUAAGANNNNNNNNNNAGCUUAAUGUGUGAGGCAUGGUUAAGUGGUGAGGUUUCAGCAGCGGCUAAGCAUAUAUUUGGUGGCUAACUUACGAGUACCAGAAAUAAGAGGGGGAAGAUCUACGCAUAACGGACGUGAACUACUGAUGAUCAAAUGAAUGAUCCUGAACACCUACCUACGUCAGACAUAACCCCACCGUGUCCUCGAUUGGAGAAAGAACUCACGAAAGAGACAGUCACGGUUACGCACACAGUUGGCAAGUUUUAAUUAAGUUAACUUCAAGUUAUCUAGAACUAGUAUUAAACAAAGUUUCCACGUUGCCACAUAACCGCGGGCACGGCUUUCCGAAAGAUUUAACCCUGCAGGGGUGCUCCAACUAGUCCUUCACAAAUUACCACAAGCCGCAUAGAAAUCCUCAAUCACGAAGCUCGCGAUCUCGUUGGAUUUCCUAGUGGAAAACCUCAACUCUGAGAUUACCCAAAGCAUCACCGGAAUCCCGAUGCACAAUAUAUCUCGUCAAAGGUAAAUCUAAUCCAGCAAGGCCGCCCGACGUGUCGACGAUCCCGAUAGGAGUUGCGUAUCUCGUUCUCAGGACACGACGGAUGGAACUAGCUACAGGUGCCAAACCUCGAGUUUCCCCGUGGUGGCCCCGCAGGCAGACCGUUUGGGACCAACACCAUCAGCACUGGCCCCCCUGUUUAUGUAAAAUUACUCCUCGGGUUCAUGACGCCCUAUGCAUUUCAAUAUUAACAAAGUUAUUAUGUUGGGCAAAUGUAGAACCAAUGUUGGGCCUUGCCGGACCAGCUUUAAUCUAAAACGAAUUAUCAAGGGGGUCCCCAUAACAACCCCGAUCGUGGUAGGAGCGCUCGUUUAUGGAACAUAACACCGGUAGCCGAAACUAAGGGGGCAAAGGUGGAACAAAACACCAGGCUAGAAAGGCCGAGCCUUCCACCUUUUACUAAGUAUAUACGUGCAUUAAAUUAAAUAGCAUUAAAUAUGGUGAUAUGACAAGGAACCCAUGUUUUCACAUGGAAGCAUCUGCACCUGCAACUAGCAACGCUAACAACAUGGUAAGCAAGCAGUAACAUAGCCAAUGAGUGGUUUGCUAGGUCGAACAGGUUGAAGGUUAUCAUGGCAUUGUUGAGAGACUGAUAUUUAACAAGUGGUAGGUAACGAGACAUAAUCGAUAGAAGCGGUAAACUAGNNNNNNNNNNNNNNNNNNNNNNNNNNNNNNNNNNNNNNNNNNNNNNNNNNNNNNNNNNNNNNNNNNNNNNNNNNNNNNNNNNNNNNNNNNNNNNNNNNNNCGUUGUGAUCACGAGGGUCUGUUGUAGAUGAAGGUCCGAGAUUCUGGUUGUGUGUUGACGGAUGAGAUACAGGUGACGGGUUAGUAUAGGAGUUGUGUGAUAUUACUCCUUGUAUCCGUGUACCAGAUUGCAUGACCAGAUAUUUCGGGAAUUCAUAGGUGGGAAUUCAAGUAGUUGUUUAUAGGACAAUCUUCCAAAAAAUGCAUGAUGUUAGAUUGGGGUUCGACAUUUAGUGGAUUCCUGUCCACGCAAAAUAUCGAACGAAAUCUUUCUCAUGAGUUUGUUAUGGCUUGUUUCAUAAGCCUCACCCUUUGUUUUGUUUUAAUAUGGUAAUUCAAGUUGCUUCGAUGUCAAGUGGUGAUUUGAGAUCUUUCCAAGAGGUGUUCUCAUAAUUUUUAUGUGAAUGCAAAUUCUUUGCUCAAUCAAUUCUCUUGUUAAUUCUUGUCAACCGGAGUCGUCAUGNNNNNNNNNNCAAAUAUUUCCAAGAGGUGUUCUCAUAAUUUUUAUGUGAAUGCAAAUUAGUUGCUCAAUCAAUUCUCUUGUUAAUUCUUGUCAACCGGAGUCGUCAUGUUAAUUCUUUUCCAACCGGUGUGCUUCUCUCCAAGUGGAUUCAAUCCUCUCCAAUUUUUGCAAGAUUAUUCUCUCAUCUUAUUCCGAAGUUUGUCUUAUGUGUCCCAAGUCGUCUUUGUUUUUUCCCACCCUCCCGCCCUUUUUCUUCAGUGAUUCUAUUUUUAUCCAAGAGUUUUAUUUUCUAUGUGUUUUCGUUGUCUGUUCUUUUCUCUCUUACCCGGUGAUUCAUUGUGAAGAUUCUCACGAGCUUCGUGUUCAUCUCUGUUCAAUCUUGUCAUCCUUACCGGUGAAUUUAAUUCAGUUGUCCGUGGUCAUCAUAUCCUUUUCAACCAUUNNNNNNNNNNAAUUUUUAUCCAAGAGUUUUCUUUUCUUUGUGCUUCCGCUGUCUGUUCUUUUCUCUCUUACCCGGUGAUUCAUUGUGAAGAUUCUCAGGAGCUUCGUGUUCAUCUUUAUUCAAUCUUGUCAUCCUUACCAGUGAAUUUAAUUCAGUUGUCCGUGGUCAUCAUAUCCUUUUCAACCAUUAAAUUCUUUCCGACGUUGGAAAUUCUUUCAGCCUUUCUUGUUUAUUAAUUCCUCUCUCUUUCUAUCCGAGUGUUAAAGAUAUUUCAGUGGUUUCUCGUUUUCAAUUCUUUUAAUUAUUUUGAGGUGCUAACCUCAUCUAGUUCUCUUCAUACCCGUGCAAUAUCUCUCNNNNNNNNNNUGUUGGAAAUUCUUUCAGCCUUUCUUGUUUAUUAAUUCCUCUCUUUCUAUCCGGAGUGUUAAAGAUAUUUCAGUGGUUUCUCGUUUUUAAUUCUUUUAAUUAUUUCGAGGUGCUAACCUCAUCUAGUUCUCUUCAUACCCGUGCAAUAUCUCUCNNNNNNNNNNNNNNNNNNNNNNNNNNNNNNNNNNNNNNNNNNNNNNNNNNNNNNNNNNNNNNNNNNNNNNNNNNNNNNNNNNNNNNNNNNNNNNNNNNNNNNNNNNNNNNNNNNNNNNNNNNNNNNNNNNNNNNNNNNNNNNNNNNNNNNNNNNNNNNNNNNNNNNNNNNNNNNNNNNNNNNNNNNNNNNNNNNNNAUUCUUUUCAACUAUGACGUAAGUGUGAAUUUCAUCAGUCAUAUUCUUUCUCCAAGUUAUAUUUGAGUUAAUUCUCAUAUUUGGCUCAACCUUUCAUUCUUCUUUAUUCNNNNNNNNNNNNNNNNNNNNNNNNNNNNNNNNNNNNNNNNNNNNNNNNNNNNNNNNNNNNNNNNNNNNNNNNNNNNNNNNNNNNNNNNNNNNNNNNNNNNCGUCGGGAGUCGAACACGGUUUCCGGGGGUCGUCGAGGACGUCGUGGUGCUCGGCGAAUUAGUCGAUGACUCACAGCAGGGAUGGUGUACGCGGCGACGCACGCGACAACACGAGCAAAUGCGAGCGGAGGCCACGGCUACAAGCGGCAGCAACAAAUAGUAAGCUACGGCAUCUAGCGCUAGCAGCAACACUCGGCACAACAGCUAGCCACCUAGCCUAGGAGCAGCAACUAAAUACAGCAACACGCAAGCAAGCAAAGCAAGCUAGCAUUAGGCAUGGAAAGCAUGAGGCAGCAGCAAGAGAAACAGCUAAUUAGCAGCAAGCAACACGGCGGCUAAGCGACAACAAACAACAUCAGCCACCAGCGGCAAGCGGCAACACGACAGCAACAUCNNNNNNNNNNGCAACACUCGACACAACAGCUAGCAACCUAGCCUAGCAGUAGCAACUAAAUACAGCAACACACAAGCAAGCAAAGCAAGCUAGCAUUAGGCACGGAAAGCAUGAGGCAGCAGCAAGAGAAACAACUAAUUAGCAGCAAGCAACACGACGGCUAAGCGAGAGCAAACAACAUCAGCCACCAGCGGCAAGCGGCAACACGACAGCAACAUCAGCUAACAGCAGGCGGGGUAAGCAAGAAGCAACAGCUACAACAUCGGUGACAGCAUGCAAUGCAAGCAGCAGCAGGCAGCUAGCCGCGGCAAGNNNNNNNNNNCGGCAAGCAGCAAGCAGCAGCUACAACAUCGGUGAUAGCAUGCAAUGGAAGCAGCAGCAGGCAGCUAGCCGCGGCAAGCGAGCAGAGCAACAACAGCAUAGCGGCUUCGCGACAAGCAGCAGCAGGCAGCAGCGGCAACACAAGCUGCAAGCGGCGACAGCAGCUAAUGCGAGCAGCAAGCAACAGCUUCAGGCUAGCAAAUACGGCAAGAAGCAGCUAAGGCACAACAAGAAACCUAGCACUAAGAAGCAAGCCACAAGCAAGAGCAACAUGCAAGAGCUACUGCACCGCAACAGCACAGGGCNNNNNNNNNNUAGCUAACGCGAGCAGCAAGCAACAGCUUCAGGCUAGCAAAUACGGCAAACAGCGGCUAAGGCACAGCAAGUAACCUAGCACUAAGCAGCAAGCCGCAAGCAAGAGCAACAUGCAAGAGCUACUGCACCGCAACAGCACAGGGCAUCGACAGCGACAGCUAGCGGCAAGAACAUCAAAGCUACAACAACACACUAGCAACUAGCGGCAUCACCAGCGAACCUUCGACAGCAACAUCAAAAUGCAGCAUCAGGCAUACACAGGAGCAGCUCGGCUACAACGACGGUUGGAGGAGGAGGUCGGGGUCCUGGAGGCUCGGCCAUGGCCAGCACGGCGCCGGGGAACAACAGUAGGGCGCCACCGGCAAGCAGUGAGGCGAGGCCGAGGGGCGGCGAGCUCGGGGAGCGACGGACGGCGCACNNNNNNNNNNGCGACGGUAGGAGGAGGAGGUCGGGGUCCUGGAGGCUUGGCCAUUGCGAGCACGGCGCCGAGGAACAGCAGUAGGGCGCCGCCGGCAAGCAGCGAGGCGAGGCCGAGGGGCGGCGAGCUCGGGAAGCGACGGAUGGCGCACGGGUAUGUCGGCGAGGAGGCCAGGGUCCUGGACGCGCAGCGAGGCGGCGCGACAGCUUGCNNNNNNNNNNGCAGCGACAGCUAGCGGCAACAACAUCAAAGCUACAUCAACACAACAGCAACUAGCGGCAUCACCAGCAAACCUUCGACAGCAACAUCAAAAUGCAGCAUCAGGCAUACACACGAGCAGCUCGGCUACAACGACAGUAGGAGGAGGAGGUCGGGGUCCUGGAGGCUUGGCCAUGGCCAGCACGACGCCGGGGAACAGUAGUAGGGCGCCGCCGGCAAGCAGCGAGGCGAGGCCGAGGGGCGGCGAGCUCGGGGAGCGACGGACGGCGCACGGGGAUGUCGGCGAGGAGGCCAGGGUCCUGGACACGUAGCGAGGCGGCGCGACAGCUUGCUCGGUAGGGAGGCGAGGCGGCGCGCGAGGCACGCGGGGAGGCGGCGAGGCGCACCGGCGAGGGGAGGCGCGGGCGACGGCCUAGGGCGAGGGGAUCGGGGAAGAUGGCGCUGCGCGAGAGGGGGAGAAGGGGAUCGGGGCAGAGAGGGAGCCACGAGGAGGACGAGGGGGAGCGUCGCUAGGGCACGGAGCGAGCUGCCCGGGCCUUGCCGGCUGGGCCUGGGCAGGCUCCUCCUCUCUCCCCAUAUGUUUUUUUUCUUUUAAUAAAAACAGAGAACAAACAUAAAAGGAAAAUAUNNNNNNNNNNUGGGGAAGAUGGCGUUGCGCGAGAGGGGGAGAAGGGGAUCGGGGCAGAGAGGGAGCCACGAGGAGGACGAGGGGGAGCGUCGGUAGGGCACGGGGCGAGCUGUCUGGGCCUUGCCGGCUGGGCCUGGGCAGGCUCCUCCUCUCUCCCCAUUUGUUUUUUUUCUUUUAAUAAAAACAGAGAACAAACAUAAAAGCAAAAUAUGUUUUAACAAAAUAAAAAAAUGCCUUUUACUCCUUUAAAAANNNNNNNNNNNNNNNNNNNNNNNNNNNNNNNNNNNNNNNNNNNNNNNNNNNNNNNNNNNNNNNNNNNNNNNNNNNNNNNNNNNNNNNNNNNNNNNNNNNNGUGUGAUCUACGUACCCUUGUAGACCGUACAGCAGAAGCGUUAGUGAAUGCGGUUGAUGUAGUGGAACGUCCUCACGUCCCUCGAUCCGCCCCGCGAACCGUCCCGCGAUCAGUCCCACGAUCUAGUGCCGAACAGACGGCACCUCCGCGUUCAGCACACGUACAGCUCGACGAUGAUCUCGGCCUUCUUGAUCCAGCAAGAUAGAUGGAGAGGUAGAAGAGUUCUCCGGCAGCAUGACGGCGCUCCGGAGGUUGGUGAUGAUCUUGUCUCAGCAGGGCUCUGCCCGAGCUCCGCAGAAACGCGAUCUAGAGGAAAAACCGUGGAGGUAUGCGGUCGGGCUGCCGUGGAAAAGUCGUCUCAAAUCAGCCCUAAAACCUCCGUAUAUAUAGGUGGGAGAGGGGGGGCCUUGUCUUGGGGCUCAAGGAGCCCCAAGGGGGUCGGCCGAGCCAAGGGGGGAAGGUCUCCCCCCCCAAACCGAGUCCAAGUUGGUUUGGUGGGUGGAGUCCUUCUUUCCUUUCCCACCUCCUCCUUUUUUUCUUUUCUCUUUGAUUUUCUUCCUAUGGCACAUAGGGCCUUCUUGGGCUGUCCCACGAUCCCACUAAGGGCUGGUGUGCCACCCCCAAGGCCUAUGGGCUUCCCCGGGGUGGGUUGCCCCCCCGGUGAACUCCCGGAACCCAUUCGUCAUUCCCGGUACAUUCCCGGUAACUCCGAAAACCUUCNNNNNNNNNNUUCUUUUCUCUUUGAUUUUCUUCCUAUGGCGCAUAGGGCCUUCUUGGGCUGUCCCACCAGCCCACUAAGGGCUGGUGUGCCACCCCCAAGGGCUAUGGGCUUCCCCUGGGCGGGUUGCCCCCCCGGUGAACUCCCGUAACCCAUUCGUCAUUCCCGGUACAUUCCCGGUAACUCCGAAAACCUUCCGGUAAUCAAAUGAGGUCAUCCUAUAUAUCAAUCUUCGUUUCCGGACCAUUCCGGAAACCCUCGUGACCUCCGUGAUCUCAUACGGGAGUCCGAACAACAUUCGGUAACCAACCAUAUAACUCAAAUACGCAUAAAANNNNNNNNNNAUUUCCGGACCAUUCCGGAAACCCUCGUGACGUCCGUGAUCUCAUCCGGGACUCCGAACAACAUUCGGUAACCAACCAUAUAACUCAAAUACGCAUAAAANNNNNNNNNNNNNNNNNNNNNNNNNNNNNNNNNNNNNNNNNNNNNNNNNNNNNNNNNNNNNNNNNNNNNNNNNNNNNNNNNNNNNNNNNNNNNNNNNNNNGUCUCCCACUUGCACUAGAGUCAAUAAUCUAGCCCUCACAUCAUCCUGUGAAUUACAUUGUAAUAAAUCUAACACCCAUACAGUUCUCGUGUUGAUCAUGCUUUGGCCGUGGAAGAGGUUUAGUCAGCGUCUGCUACAUUCAGAUCCGUGUGCACUUUGCAUAUAUUUACGUCCUCCCCUUCGACGUAGUCGCGGAUGAGGUUGAAGCGUCGUUUGAUGUGUCUGGACUUCUUGUGAAACCGUGGUUCCUUUGCUAAGGCAAUGGCACCCGUGUUGUCACAGAACAAGGUUAUUGGAUUCAGUGCGCUUGGCACCACUCCAAGAUCCGCCAUGAACUGCUUCAUCCAGACACUCUCCUUAGCCGCCUCCGAGGCAGCCAUGUACUCUGCUUCACAUGUAGAAUCUGCUACGAUGCUUUGCUUGGAACUGCACCAGCUUACCGCACCCCAUUAAGAAUAAAUACGUAUCCGGUUUGCGACUUAGAGUCGUCCGGAUCUGUGUCAAAGCUUGCAUCGACGUAACCUUUUACGGCGAGCUCUUCGUCACCUCCAUACACGAGAAACAUCUCCUNNNNNNNNNNNNNNNNNNNNNNNNNNNNNNNNNNNNNNNNNNNNNNNNNNNNNNNNNNNNNNNNNNNNNNNNNNNNNNNNNNNNNNNNNNNNNNNNNNNNGUUCCAAAUGUCUGCUAACAUAAUCAUUGAAACUCUGUUGUUUGGCAACAAAGUUUUCAAAUUCAUCAAAGCAUAGGCUAGCAGGUUUAUCAAAAGGAAUAUCACUCUCAUCAAACCUACGCAGAUAAUUCACUUCUACUACCUGUAUCGGGUUAUCGAGACCAUGGAUCUCUUCGAUAGGUGGUAGAUUUUUCACAUCUUCAGAUCUAAUGCCUUUCUCUUGCAUAGAUUUCUUUGCUUCUUGCAUAUCUUCGGGACUGAGGAAUAGAAUACCUCUUUUCUUUGGAGUUGUCUUAGGAGGUGGUUCGGGAAUAGUCCAAGCAUUAUCGUUGAUCAAGAGGUUAUUCAGUAGGGUCUGAGCUUGUUCUACAGUUCGUUCCCUAAAAACACAACCGGCACAACUAUCUAGGUGGUCUCUAGAGGCAUAGGUAAGUCCGUUAUAGAGGAUAUCAAGUAUCUCGUUCUUCUUAAGAGGGUGAUCAGGCAAAUCAUUCUGUAGCUAGACGAGCCUCCCCCAAGCUUGUGGAAGACUCUCUUCUUGGAGUUGAGCAAAGUUGUAUAUUUCCUGCAUUGCUUCUUAUGGGCAGGGAAAUAUUUCUCACAGAAGUAAUAGACCAUCUCUUGGGGACUACGCACACAUCCAGGAGCAAGAGAGGUGAACCAGGCUUUAGCGUCAUCCUUUAGAGAGAAAGGAAAUAGCUUAAGGAUAUAGUAGUGGCGGAUCUUCUCCUCAUUAGUGGAAAGGUUGGCUAUUUCGGAUAGUUUGGCAAGAUGGGCUAUGACCGUCUCAGACUCAUAACCGUGAAAAGGAUCAGAUUCGACUAGAGAGAUUAUCUCAGGGUCGACAGAGAAUUCAUAAUCCUUAUCGGUGACAAAGAUAGGCGAAGUGGCAAACUUUGGGUCAUUUUUCAUCCUAGCUUCCCGAGAUUUUUCCUUCCACUUAAGAAGUAAUUUCUCAGCGUCAUAGGCAUCCUUACACGCAAGAAAAUCCUCAGCUAUCUCUCCCUCCAUAAUGUAACCCUCAGGUAUAUCAGGCAAUUCAUAUCUAGGAGAGCUAGAUCUAGCAGGAGCAAAAAGCAGGUUCUAUCUUAAUAGUAUCGACAGUUUCAGAAGCAUCACGAGCAUUGGCAGUAACUCUAGCAAUAUGAGCAUCAAGGAACACUCCUAGUGGAACAUUAGGCAAAGGAGUAUCUCUAGCAGUAUCAAGCAUAACAUCAUCAGGCAAAAUAGCAUCUCUAGCAUCAUCAGGCAAAGCAGUAUUAGGCAUAGCAUCUCUAGCAGUAUCAAGCAUAGCAUCUCUAGCAGUAUCAGGCAUAGUAUCAAGCAUAGUAUCAUCAGGCAUAGUAUCAAGCAUAGCAUCUCUAGCAGUAGUAUCACAAGCAUCAUCAAGCACAGGCGAAAUAUCAAGAUUUCUAGCAGGAGGUGAUGUUGCAAACUUACUCAUAAAUGAAGGUGAAUCAAGUGCAGAGCUAGAUGGAAAUUCCUUACCUCCCCUCGUAGUUGAGGGCAAUACUUUGGUCUUCAGAUCCUUCAGAUUCUUCAUAGUGAUCAGCAGAUAUAAAUCCCAAGUCACUCAGACAAUAUAGCAAUACCUCCCCGACAACGGCGCCAGAAAAAUGCUGAUUGCAAUCUCUGGCGAUGGCUAGACGAAUGCUGAUGACAAAAAACCUUCACCUGCAACGGCACCAAAAGAAUGCUGCUAGCACUCCCCAGUAACGAAACUAGAAGAAUGUUGUUGAUGGCCCACCAGCGCGUGGGUUCGCAGCAGUUUUCAAGGGUAGAGUAUUCGACCCAAUUUGUUGGUUUACUAGACAGGAGGUGAGAGAAUACUCUCGAGUAUUAGCAGCUGAAUUUGUCAGGUUCAACCACACCUAAAAGAUUAGUAUCUGCAAGCAAAGUAGUAACAGCAAAGUAGCGAGUAACGGCAGUGUAACGAGCAGUAGCAGCGGCAAGGAACAGCAGUAGUGACAGCAGUAGCAAGUAGCAACAGUAGCAAGCGAUAAUAGUAGCAACAGCAGCAGCAGAGCAAGACAAGUAACAGCAGUAGCAACAGUAGUAGCAGUAGCAGCAGAGCAAGACAAGUAACAGCAGUAGCAACAGUAGUAGCAGGAGUAGGACAAACUCUUAGGCAAUGGGUCGGUGAUUUGUUUGGAUGAUAUUCAUCAUGCAACAGCUAUAACACAGAGAGAUAUGUGGCUAGCUCCCGUUCGUCAAUGUGAUGUAGGCAUGCAUUCCGUGUGUCGUCAUACGUGCUUAGGGAAAAGAACUUGCAUGACAUCUAUUGUCCAUCCCUCCCGUGGCAGCGGGGUCCAAAAGGAAACUACGAGAUAUUAAGGUUCUCCUUUUAAUAAAGAACCGGACCAACACAUUAGCACUUGGUGAACACAUGAACUCCUCAAACUAUGGUCAUCAUCGGAGUGGUUCCGGUUAUUGUCACUCCGGGGUUGCCGGAUCAUAACACAUAGUAGGUAGCUACAACUUGCAAGAUCGGAUCUAAAACACACAUAUAUUGGUGACAACAUAAUAAUUUCAGAUCUGAAAUCAUGGCACUCGGGACCUAGUGACAAGCAUUAAGCAUGGCAAAGUAGUAGCAACAUCAAUCUCAGAACAUAGUGGAUACUAGGGAUCAAUCCCCAUCAAAACUAACUCGAUUACAUGAUAGAUCUCAUCCUACUCAUCACCGCCCAGCGAGCCUACGAAUAGAUUACUCACGAAUGACGAAGAGCUUCAUGGAAUUGGAGAGGGAAGAAGGUUGAUGAUGACGAUGGCGACGAUUUCCCCUCUCCGGAGCCCAAGACGGACUCCAGAUCUGCCCUCCAGAUGAAUAACAGGUGGUAGUGGCGCCUCCGUAUCGAAAACGCGACGAAAACUUCUCUUUUUAUUUUUUCUCGGACGAAAGGGAUCUUAUAGACCUGAGAUUGGGGGCGGGAGAGCCGUGUGGGCCCUACAAGCCUGCCCACCGCCACUAGGGGGUGGUGGCGGAGCCAGGGCUUGUGGCCCAUUGGCCCACCCCCUGAGGUGGAACUUGGCGCAUAUAUUUUUCUUAUUUUCCAAAAUUGCUCCCCGUAAAUUUUCAAGACGUUUGGAGAACCUUGAUUUCUGCACAAAAAUAACACCAAGGCAAUUCUGCUGAAAACAGCGUCAGACCAGGUUAGUUCCAUUAAAAUCAUGCAAAUUAGAGUCCAAAACAAGGGCAAAAGAGUUUGGAAAAGUAGAUACGUUGGAGACGUAUCACAUGCGCUGGGGGAUAUCAUAAAGUUUAAACUCAACCAUAGGAGGAUUCUUCCUCGGAUAGAAGUUAAAGCUUUGUACGAACAUAUUAGUGAGGAGGAGGUAUUGCGGACACUUAUCUUCAACGAAGGCGGUAAGGCCUGCAUUCUCCACCAAGUGAUAAAAGUCCUCAUAAAUUCCAGCGGCGCAUAAGAACACGUCGCUUGGCCACUCGCACGCUCGAACUUCCGUGACUCGAGGAACUAGAUACUUGGGCUUCUUCUCACUCCCACCAUCCUUGGGGUCACGGCUUGACGAGCCUCUUAAGAACCUCCUCAUCUUUUCCCCUUUCUUAUCUCUCGAAAUUUCUGAAAUUUUUAGUGAUUCUAAGGAGAAGUGAAUAAGGCUCAACAAAACUCGUAGCAACUACUCCCACAAGUGCCUAGAGGCCAUAUUACGCAUCAAAACUACUUGGGACCAGCUAGAAUUAGCAUGCAAAGCUCAAGAACAUGGUCACCAAGGCAACAAAAAUACGCGAAGUAUAAGGCACUAGAGCAAAACCUAAUUGGACGAAUGGAGGAGUCACUUACCAAGGAUUAAUUUCCCCAAAACAGUUCGGAGAACGGUGAUUUGAGCAAAGAGAUCGAAAAUCCCAGCAAGAGGAGCAAGAACACUGGUUUGAGCUGCGAAACGAUUUUUAUGGAGGUAGGAGAAGCGGAUGAGAGCAAGAAUGAGUGGAGGGGUGCCUGUGGGCCCCACAAGCCUGGGUGGCGCGGCCAGGGGGUGCUCGCGCCCCUAGGGCUUGUGGCCCUCUCGUGUGGGCCACAGACAAGCUCUUUGUCUCAGAAGUUUUCAAAAAAUACAGAAAAAAAUCAUACUUGAUUUUCACAGCGUUCGGAGAACUUUUAUUUUCGGGGUACUUUUCUACCAGACGCUAAAAUAGAAAACAGGGAAAACUAAACUAAACCUAUCAUUUUUCUUCUAAGAAACCGAAGGUGAAAGCUUGGAACAGAGGUUUGUGACUCCUUGAUUCAUCCAUCUCAUGGUUAUCGAAAGACAUCCGUCAGUGAGGUUGAUCAAGUCUCUUUGACAAACCUUUUCGAAUCGCAAAAGAGAACGGAGAAUUUUUGAAUAGUCACUAGGUCACAUCAAUGGGGAUGUGUAUCUCCCCAACAAGCAAAUCAUACUUCAUCUUGACACGAGGAAUAGGGCAUUCAAAGCUCCCAAUAAGAAUCGAUGAAGUUUUUUCGAUAGCACUGAUGCAAUGUACUCGAUAUUGUUUCUUCGGAAAGUGCACCUUAUGCUCAUUACCGUUGACAUGGAAAGUGACGUUGCCUUUGUUGCCAUCUAUAACAGCCCCUGAAGUGUUUAAAAAGGGUCUUCCGAGGAUGACAGCCAUGGCAUCGUCCUUAGGAAUAUCCAAGAUAACAAAGUGUGUUAAGAUAGUGAUGUUAGCAACCACAACAGGCACAUCCUCGCAAAUGCCGAUAGGGAAAGCAAUUGAUUUGUCGGCCAUUUGCAGAGAGAUUUUAGUGGGUGUCAACUUAUCCAGUUCAAGUCUACGAUAAAGAUAGAGAGGCAUAACACUAACACCGGCUCCAAGAUCGCAUAAAGCAGUUCUAACGUAGUUGCCUUUAAUGGAGCAAGGUAUAGUGGGCACACCGGGAUCACCUAGUUUCUUAGGAGUUCCACCCUUGAAGGUAUAAUUAGCGAGCAUGGUGGAAAUCUCAACCUCAGGUAUCCUCCUCUUAUUAGUCACAAUAUCUUUCAUGUACUUAGCAUACAGAGACAUUUUGAGCAUAUCUGUCAAACGCAUUUGCAGAAAGACAAGUCUGAUCAUUUCAACGAAGCGCUCAAAAUCCUCAUCAUCCUUUUUCUUGGAUGGUUUGGGAGGAAAGGACAUAGGUUUCUGAACCCAUGGUUCCCUUUCUUUACCAUGCUUCCUAGCAGUGAAGUCAUUCUUAUCGUAUCUCUUAGUCUUAGGUUGUGGGUUAUCAAGAUCAACAGGUUCAAUCUCCACAUCCUUUUCAGUGCUAGGUUGAGCAUCUUCAUGAACAUCACUAUUGAUAUUAUCAUUAGGCUCAUGUUCAUCACCAGAUUGUGUUUCAGCAUUAGAGACACAGGCGUCGUUUGGACUCUCAGGGGUAGCAUCAUCAGGGUUGCUAGCGUGCAGGUUCCUAUCAUCUUUCUUCUUCUUUCUAGGAUGACUAGGUGCAUCAGUGCUAACUCCUUGAGAUUCUUGUUCAAUUCUCUUCGGAUGACCCUGAGGAUACAGAGGUUCCUGGGUCAUUCUACCGCCUCUAGUGACGACUCUAACGGAAUUGUCAUUCAACUCAUUGACCAAGUCAUUUUGAGCUUUAAGUACUUGUUCUACCUGAGUAGUAACCAUAGAGGCAUUCUUACUUAGAAGCUUAAGAUCAUUGACGUUUCUCUCCACACAAGCACUUAAAUGACUAAGCAUACGAGCAUUUUGUUCCAAUUGUCUGCUAACAUAAUCAUUGAAACUCUGUUGUUUGGCAAUGAAGUUAUCAAAUUCAUCAAAGCAUAAGCUAGCAGGUUAAUCAAAAGGAAUAUCACUCUCAUCAAACCUACGUAGAGAAUUUACUUCUACUACCUGUAUCGGGUUAUCGAGACCACAUACCUCUUCGAUAGGUGGUAGAUUUUUGACAUCUUCAGAUUUAAUGCCUUUCUCUCGCAUAGAUUUCUUGGUUUCUUGCAUAUCUUCAGGACUGAGGAAUAGAAUACCUCUUUUCUUCGGAGUUGGCUUAGGAGGUAGUUCGGGAAUAGUCCAAGCAUUCUCAUUGCACAAGAUGUUAUUCAGUAGAAUCUCAGCUUGUUCUACAAUUCUUUCCCGAAAAACACAACCAGCACAACUAUCUAGGUGGUCUUUGGAAGCAUCGGUAAGUCCAUUAUAGAAGAUAUCAAGUAUUUCAUUCUUCUCAAGAGGGUGAUCAGCCAAAGCAUUCAGUAGCUGGAUGAGCCUCCCCCAAGCUUGUGGGAGACUCUCUUCCUCAGCUUGAGCAAAGUUGUAUAUUUCCUGCAAGGCAGCUUGCUUCUUAUGGGCAGGGAAAUAUUUUUCACAGAAGUAGUAGACCAUAUCCUCGGGGCUACGCACACAACUAGGAGCAAGAGAAGUGAACCACGUCUUAGCAUCAUACUUUAGCGAGAAAGGAAACAGCUUGAGCAUAUAGUAGUGGCAGAUCUUUUCCUCACUAGUGAAUAGGCUGGCUAUAUCGUGCAGUUUGUUAAGAUGGGCUACAACCGUUUCAGACUCAUAACCGUAAAAAGGACCAGAUUCGACCAGAGUAAUUAACUCAGGGUCGACAUAGAAUUCAUAAUCCUUAUCGGUCACAAAGAUAGGCGAAGUGGCAAACUUCGGGUCGUAUUUCAUCCUAGCAUUCAGAGAUUUUUCUUUCCACUUGCGCAGAAGUUUCUCAACAUCAUAGCUAUCCUUACACGCAAGAAAAUCCUCAGCUAUCUCUCCCUCCAUAACAUAGCGCGUAUCGGGCAUAACAGGCAAUUCAGGCAUAGUAGCAGGUUCUACUUCAAUAGUAUCAGCAGUUUCAGAAGUAUCAUCACAUCUAGCAGCAACUCUAGCAAUAUGUGCAUCAAGGGCACCUAGUGGCAAAGUAGUAUCAGGCAUAGCAUCAUCAGGCAUAGUAUCAAGCAUAGCAUCAUCAGGCAUAGUAUCAAGCAUAGCAUCAUCACGCAUAGUAUCAAGCAUAGCAUCAUCAGGCAUAGUAUCAAGCAUAGCAUCAUCAGACAUAGUAUCAAGCAUAGCAUCAUCAUAAGCAUCAUGGGCAGCAGAAGUAGCAUCAUCAAGCACAGGCGACAUAUUAAGAUUUCUAGCAGGAGGCGAUGUCUCAAACUUACUCAGAACUGAAGGUGAAUCAAGUGCAGAGCUAGAUGGCACUUCCUUACCUCUCCUCGUAGUGGAAGGUAGGAUUUUAGUUCUUGGAUCUUCUGGAUUCCUCAUAGUGAUCAGCAGAAGUAAAUCCCAAGUGACUCAGAGAAUAUAGUUGUGCUUCCCCGGCAACGGCGCCAAAAAAAGCCUUGAUAACCCACAAGCGUAUGGGAUCGCAGCAGUUUUUGAGGGUAGAGUAUUCAACCCAAAUUUGUUGGUUCACACAAGGGAAGGAAAGAAUAUUCUCAAGUAUUAGCAGCUGAGUUUGUUAGAUUCAACCACACCUGAAAGAUUAGUGUCUGCAAGCAGAGUAUCAGUAGCAAAGUAGUAUGAUAGCAACGGUGCCAGAAAAAGAUUUGUUGACAGCUGACUAUUCCUAACUGUUGUAUCAAUGGCGCCAGUAGAUAGCACGUUGACGGGGGACUAUUCUUCCCUGGCAAUGGCUCCAGAAAAGUCUUGCAACAAGUAGCAGCAAAGUAACAGCAGUAGUGACAGCAGUAGCAGGUAACAGCAGUAGUGACAGCAGUAGUAGAGUAACAGCAGUAGCAAUAGUAGCAGCAAAGUGGCCCAAUCCCUUUUGUAGCAAGGGACAAGCCUAGACAAAGUAACGUUGCAAGGACCAGUAGUAAAAGACUCGUAGGCAGUGGAUCGGUGAUAGGUGAGUAUGACGGAUGUGAUUCAUCAUGUAACAGCAAUAACACGGAGAAUUAAGUAACUAGCUCCCGUUCAUCAAUCUAAUGUAGGCAUGUAUUCCGUAUGUAGUCAUACGUGCUUAGGGAAAAGAACUUGCAUGACAUCUAUUGUCCAUCCCUCCCGUGGCAGCGGGGUCCUAAUGGAAACUACGGGAUAUUAAGGUUCUCCUUCUAAUAAAGAACUGGACCAACGUAUUAACACGCGGUGAAUACAUGAACUCCUCAUACUAUGGUCAUCUCCGGGAGUGGUUCCGGCUAUUGUCACUCCGGGGUUGCCGGGUCAUAACACAUAGUAGGUGACUACAACUUGCAAGAUAGGAUCUAAAACACACAUAUAUUGGCGACAACAUAAUAGGUUCAGAUCUGAAAUCAUGGCACUCGGGCCCUAGUGACAAGCAUUAAGCCUAGCCAAGUAGUAGCAACAUCAAUCUAGAACAUAGUGGAUACUAGGGAUCAAUCCCCGUAAAAAACUAAUUCGAUUACAUGAUAGAUCUCAUCCAACUCAUCACCGUCCAGCUAGCCUACGAUGAGAUUACUCACGAACGAUGAAGAGCAUCAUGGAAUUGUCGAUGGAGAAAGGUUGAUGAUGACGAUGGCGACGAUUUCCCCUCUCCGGAGCCCGAAACGGACUCCAGAUCUGCCCUCCAAAUGAAGAAGGCGGCGCCUCCGUAUCGCAAAACGCGAUGAAACCUUCUCUCUAAUUUUUUUUCCGGGCGAGACGGAAGAUAUAGAGCUGAGUUUGGGGGCGGUGGAGCCACGUGGGCCCCACAAGCCCUCACGGCGCAACCAGGGGGGUGGCCGCGGCCUGUGGGCUUGUGGUAUUUUUCUUUUAUUCCAGAAAAAAUGUCCGUAAAUUUUCAGGACAUUUCAAGAACUUUUAUUUCUGCACAAAAACAACACCAUGGCAAUUCUGCUGAAAACAGCGUUAGUCCGGGUUAGUUCCAUUCAAAUCAUGCAAAUUAGAGUCCAAAACAAGGGCAAAAGAGUUCGAAAAAGUAGAUACGACGGAGACAUAUCAUUUGUCGAGAUCCCAUGAAUUGUGGAUUUAUGAUCAGAUUAUCUAUGAAUCUUAUUUGAGUUUCUUCUGAUCUCUCUUAUGCAUGAUUUCAUAUCCUUGUAAUUAUCUUCGAGUUGUGGGUUUUGUUUUGCCAACUAGAUCUAUGAUUCUUGCAAUGGGAGAAGUGCUUGGUUUUGGGUUCAUACCGUGCGGUGACCUCACCCAGUGACAGAAGGGGUAGCGAGGCACGCAUCGUGUUGUUGCCAUCAAGGGUACAAAGAUGGGGUUUUCAUCAUUGGUUUGAGAUUAUCCCUCUACAUCAUGUCUUAUUGCUUAAGGUGUUACUCUGUUCGUCAUGAACUCAAUACACUUGAUGCAUGCUGGAUAGCGGUCGAUGUGUGGAGUAAUAGUAGUAGAUACAAAAAGUAUCGGUCUACUUGUCUCGGAUGUGAUGCCUAUAUGUAUGAUCAUUGCCUUAGAUAUCGUCAUGACUUUGCACGGUUAUAUCAAUUGUUCGACAGUAAUUUGUUCACCCACCGUGAUAUUUGCUAUUAUGAGAGAAGCCUCUAGUGAACACUAUGGCCCCCAGGGUCUACUCCACACCAUAUUUUCAGCCUUACUCUUUCUCUAUGUUGCACUUUGCGCCUUGAGAUCUCACUUUGCAAACAAUCUUGAAGGGAUUGACAACCCCUUUAUAUUGUUGGGUGCAAGCUCUUUUGUGUUUGUGCAGGUACUCUGGACUUGACAAGAUUCUCCUACUGGAUUUAUACCUUGGUUCUCAAACUAAGGGAAAUACUUACUGCUCAUGUGCUGCAUCACCCUUUCCUCUUCAAGGGAAAAACCAACGCAAGCAAGUCUCCGUGAACGUGUCAAAUUCUGGCGCUAUUGUUUGAGAAGUAGCAAAAGGAUUUCUGGCGCCGUUGCCGAGGAGGAUGAAGUCAAGAACUCAUCCAAGUAAGUGUCACAAACUCAUCUCUUGCAUUUACUUUGUUUGCCAUUUGCCUCUCGUUUUCCUCUCCCGCACUUCACCAAUUUGCCUUUUUUCAUUUUCCUUUUUCGUUCGCCUUUUCGUUCGCCCUUUUUCUCGCUUGCUCUUUGUUCGCUUGUGUGCUUGCUUUCUUGUCGAAGUCACCAUGACUGAAAACACCAAACUUUGUGACUUCUCGAAUACUAAUAAUAAUUAUUUUCUUAUUACUCCGACUGCUCCCGCCACUAGUGCGGAGUCAUACGAAAUCAAUGUCGCUUUGCUGAAUAUUGUUAUGAAAGAGCAAUUCUCCGGCCUUCCUAGUGAAGAUGUCGUAUUCCAUCUUAAUGCCUUCAUAGAGCUUUGCGAUAUGCAAAAGAAGAAAGAUGUGGAUAAUGAUGUGAUUAAAUUGAAGCUUUUUUCCUUUCUCGUUGCGAGAUCGAGCAAAAACUUGGUUUUCGUCUUUGCCCAAAAAUAAUAUCGAUUCUUGGGUUAAGUGCAAAGAUGCUUAUAUAUCCAAGUAUUUUCCGCCGACUAAGAUUAUCUCUCUCCGUAAUGAUAUCAUGAAUUUUAAGCAACUUGAUCAUGAACACGUUGCACAAUCUUGGGAGAGAAUGAAAUUGAUGAUUAGAAAUUGUCCCGCUCAUGGCUUGAGUCUUUGGAUGAUUAUUCAAAUCUUCUAUGCUGGUCUGAAUUUCGCUUCUAGAAAUAUCUUGGACUCCGCCUCCGGUGGAACGUUCAUGGAAAUCACGUUAGGAGAAGCCAUGAAACUCCUAGACAAUAUCAUGACGAACUACUCUCAGUGGCACACUGAAAGGUCACCUACUAGUAAGAAAGUACACGCUAUAGAAGAAAUUAACUCGUUGAGUGCUAAGAUGGAUGAGUUAAUGAAUUUGGUUGCUAGUAGAAGUGCUCCUUUAGAUCCUAAUGAUAUGCCCUUGUCUUCUUUGAUUGAGAGUAGCAACGCUAGCUUGGACGUUAACUUUGUUGGUAGGAAUAAUUUUGGCAACAACAAUGCUUUUAGAAGAAACUAUGUUCCUAGGCCUUUUCCUAGUAACUCCUCUAAUAACUUUGGCAACUCCUACAACAAUACUCAUGGAAAUUACAAUAGGUUACCCUCUGAUCUAGAGAGUAAUAUCAAAGAGUUUAUCAACUCGCAAUUUUUUUCAAUGCGUCGAUAGAGGAAAAACUACUCAAAAUUUAUGAUUUGGCUAAGAGCGUUGAUAGAAUGUCUAGUGAUAUUGAUGCUUUGAAAGUUAGAUGUGCUCCUCCCAAGAUCAAUAUGGAUGAAACUUUGAAAGCUAUGUGUGUUUCCAUGAUUGAGAGCAAAGAAAGAACCGCCCAAAUUUGUGUUAGACAUGAAUGGCUUAAAAGGGCAUGUUCUCGUGAUAAGAAUCAUGGAGAUCUUAAAGUGCUUGGUGUGAUUCGCAUUGAAUCUUUGUUUUCUUGUGUCAAACGCCCCAAUGAUUCGAAGUCCAUCUACAAGGACUUUACCGAUCAUAUCGUCGAAGCUAUGAUAAAAUCUCUUGAAGAAAAACUUGAAUUGGAAGUCUCUAUCCCUAGAAAGCUUCAUGAUGAGUGGGAACCUACUAUCAAAAUCAAAAUCAAAAACUAUGAAUGCAAUGCUUUGUGUGAUUUAAGUGCUAGUGUUUCCGCGAUUCCAAAGUCUUUAUGUGAUGUUCUGGGUUUUAAUGAGAUUGAAGAGUGUUCUCUUAAUUAGCAUCUUGCGGAUUCUACUAUCAAGAAACCCAUGGGAAGGAUCGAUGAUGUUCUUCUGGUUGCAAAUAGGAACUAUGUACCUGUGGAUUUCAUUGUGCUUGACAUUGAUUGCAAUCCUGCAUGCCCUAUUAUUCUUGGUAGACCUUUCCUAAGGGCUAUCGGUGCCAUCAUCGAUAUGAAGGAAGGGAAGAUUAGAUUUCAAUUUCCUUUAAAGAAGGGCAUGGAGCACUUUCCUAGAAAGAAAAUAAGAUUGCCUUAUGAAUCCAUGAUGAGGGCCACUUAUGGUUUGAGCACCAAAGACGACGAUGCAUGAUUCUAUCUCCUUAUGCCUAGCUAAGGGCGUUAAACAAUAGCGCUUGUUGGGAGGCAACCCAAUGAAUUUAUUUCUUUUUCUUUCUGUUUUGUUGCAUCCACACUAUCAUAAUUCUGUUAUGAUUGUGUAUUUUGUGUUUCUUUUUGUGUUUGAGCCAAGCAAAACCUUUAUGAUUAGUCUUGGUAAUGCUUGUUUGAUCCUGCUGGAAAAAGACAGAAACUUUUCGCUCACGAGAUGAUUUUUCGUUUUUAUUCAGAAAGAGAUUUUGAGUUGAUUCUUUUUGCUGCUGGUUGAUAUGCCUUUUUCCCAAGCAGUCGUAAUUUUUAAAUUGUUUGAGGUACGAGAAGUAUACGAAGUAUACAGAUUGCUACAGACUGGUCUAUUUUUGACAGAUUCUGUUUUGAUGAAACUAUGGUUAGUAUCGGGGGGUACUAGCCAUGGAAAAGUGAGAAUACAGUAGCCCAACACCAAUAUAAAUAGAAAUCAAGAUUGCUACAGUACCUAAAGAGGUGGUAGUUUGUUUUCUUGUGCUAAUGAUAUCACGAGUUUCUGUUUAAGUUUUGUGUUGUGAAGUUUUCAAGUUUUGGGUGAUGUUCUCAUGGACAAAGAGAUAAGGAGUGGAAAGAGCUCAAGCUUGGGGAUGCCCAAGGCAUCCCAAUCCAAACUCAAGGACACCAAAAAGCCUAAGCUUGGGGAUGCCCCGGGAAGUCAUCCCCUCUUUCGUCUUCAAUCCAUCGGUAACGUUACUUGGAGCUAUAUUUUUAUUCACCACAUGAUAUGUGUUUUGCUUGGAGCGUCUUGUAUCUCAGGAGUAUUUUCUUUUUUGAUGUGUGAUACGUCUCCAACGUAUCUAUAAUUUUUUAUGGUUUCAUACUAUUAUCUUGUCAAACUUUGGAUAUUUUGCAUGUCUUCUAUAUAUUUUUUGGGACUAAAUUAUUAACUCAGUGACAAGUGCCAGUUCCUAUUUUUUCCAUGUUUUUAACCCCUUUCAGAGGAGAUUUUGAAACGGAGUCCAAACGGAAGAAAAUCCCCGAAAAGAUUUUUUCUGGAACGGAAGAAGAUCGGGAAGCUUGGGAGCCAAGGCAGGGGAGCCCCAGGGUCCCCACAAGCCCCCACCCCGCAGCCAGGGGGUAGGCCGCGCUACCCAGGCUUUUGGGCCCCCUGAGCGUCCCCUGACCUCGGAGUUGCGCCUAUAAAUUCCCUAAAAAUCCCCAAAAAAUUAGGAGAUCAUCGAAAGUACUUUUCCGCCGCCGCAAGCUUCUCUCUCCGCAAGAUCCCAUCUGGGGCACGUUCUGGUGCCCUGCCGGAGGUGGGAUUCGGACACGGAGGGCUUCUUCAUCAACACCAUGACCUCUCCGAUGAUGCGUGAGUACUUCACCAUAGACCUACGGGUCCAUAGCUAGUAACUAGAUGGCUUCUUCUCUCUCUUGGAUCUUCAAUACAAAGUUCUUCAUGAUCUUCAUGGAGAUCUAUCCGAUGUAAUCUUCUUUUGCGGUGUGUUUGUCGAGAUCUGAUGAAUUGUGGAUUUAUGAUUAGAUUAUCUAUGAAUCUUAUUUGAGUUUCUUCUCAUCUAUCUUAUGCAUGAUUUCAUAUCCUUGUAAUUCUCUUCGAGUUGUGGGUUUUGUCUGGCCAACUAGAUCUAUGAUUCUUGCAAUGGGAGAAGUGCUUGGUUUUGGGUUCAUACCAUGCGGUGACCUCACCCAGUGACAGAAGGGGUAGCGAGGCACGCAUCAUGUUGUUGCCAUCAAGGGUAAAAAUAUGGGGUUUUCAUCAUUGGUUUGAGAUUAUCCCUCUACAUCAUGUCAUCUUGCUUAAGGCGUUACUCUGUUCGUCAUGAACUCAAUACACUAGAUGCAUGCUGAAUAGCGGUCGAUGUGUGGAGUAAUAGUAGUAGAUGCAGAAAGUAUCGGUCUACUUGUCUCGGACGUGAUGCCUAUAUGUAUGAUCAUUGCCUUAGAUAUCGUCAUGACUUUCCGCGGUUCUAUCAAAUGCUCGACAGUAAUUUGUUCACCCACCGUGAUAUUUGCUAUUAUGAGAGAAGCCUCUAGUGAACACUAUGGCCCCCAGGGUCUACUCCACACCAUAUUUUCAGCCUUACACGUUUUACUUCGUUGCACUUUCCGCCUUCACAUCUCACUUUGCAUACAAUCUUGAAGAGAUUAAAAACCCCUUUGAAGCGUUGGGUGCAAGUUUGUUUGUGUUUGCGCAGGUACUCUGGACUUGACGAGGCCCUCCUUAUGGAUCGAUACCUUGGUUCUCAAACUGAGGGAAAUACUUACUGCUCCUGUGCUGCAUCAGCCUUUCCUCUUCAUGGAAAAAACCGACACAAACCAGAGAAGUAACAAGAAGAAUUCCAAAGCGCGAGGGAAGGACUUUUGUUGCCGCAGCAGAAGAAUUUCUGGUGCCGUUGCCGGGGAGGAAGAUCAAGUAAAGAACCCAUCCAAGUAAGUGUCGCAAACUCAUCUCUUGCAUUUACUUUUUUGCCUCUCGUUUUCCUCUCCCCCACUUCUGAAAAACAAAAAAAAAUUACAAAAAAAUCUUUGCCUUUUUUCGUUUGCCUUUUUCGUUCGCCCCUUUCUGUCGCUUGCUUUCUGUUGGCUUGUGUGCCAUGUGCCUUCAAUAUGCUUGCAUCUUCGCUUGCUGAAAAUCUAGUGAUAUGGAUCCUCAUCCACUCGCUAAUCUCUUUAAGAGAUCCAAUUAUGUUGAUCCAAUUGCUAGUGAGUUGAGUGCACUUGACUAUCUUUAUGGAGUUUUGCUUGAGAUGCAUGAAUCUGAGAAUCAUGAGGAAGAAAUUUAUGAAGUCAUUCACAAGGGCUCCUUGGAUGAAAAGGAUGAUUUCAAUGGUUUCACUAUAAAUUCUAUUAGUGACAAUCAUGCUAAGAAUAUGCAAAACCCUAAGCUUGGGGAUGCUAGUUUUGCUAUGUCCACUACUUGUUGCAAUGAUCAUGAGUGGGGCGAUGAUUUUUCUUAUGAUAUUGAAAAUUUAUUUAAGCCUCAUAAUGAAUAUGAUAUUUGCAAUAUUAUUGAAAGUGGGUUUGGAGAAGUCAUGACUUUAGUUGAUGAUAAUCCUACUAUUUUUGAAGAGCGUCAACUUUGCAUGCAUGUGGAUCAUGAAAAGAAUAUCCUAUGUGAUAGUUACAUUGUUGAAUUUGAAUAUGAUCCCACAUGUAAUUAUUAUGAGAGAGGAAAAUAUGGUGGUAGAAACUUUCAUAUCACUAAAUCACCUCUCGUUAUGAUGAGAUUGCUAUUGUCUCUUUCUUCUUCCUUGCAUAUGGUAACUGUUGGUUGUCUUGACAAUCUGUUUUCCUAUAAAAUGACUAUGCCUAGGAAGUAUGUUAGACUUGAUGUGAUUUUCACAUGCUUUAUGAUGCUCUCGUUGUGCUUCAAUUCUUGUCUUUUGUGUGAGCAUCAUUGAAUUAUCAAUGCCUAGCUAAGGGUGUUAAACAAUAUCGCUUGUUGGGAGGCAACCCAAUGAAUUUAUCUUUUUCUUUCUGUUUUGUUGCGUCGAGACUAUCAUAAUUCUGUUGUGAUUGUGUUUUUGUGUUUCUUUUUGUGUUUGAGCCAAGCAAAAACCUUUAUGACUAGUCUUGAUAGUUGUUUGAUCCUGCUGGAAAAAGACAGAAACUUUUCGCUCACGAGAUGAUUUUUCAUUUUUAUUCAGAAAGAGCUUUCGAGUUGAUUAUUUUUGCUUCUAGUUGAUAUGCCUUUUGCCGAGGCAUUCGUAACUUUUCAGAUUUUUUGAGGUACCAGAAGUAUACGAAGUAUACAGAUUGCUAAAAACUGGUAUGUUUUUGACAAAUUCUGUUUUUGUUGUGUUGGUUGCUUGUUUUGAUGAAACUAUGGUUAGUAUCGGGGGGUACUAGCCAUGGAAAAGUGAGAAUACAGUAGCCCAACACCAAUAUAGAAAGAAUUCAAGUUUUCUACAGUACCAAAAGAAGUGGUAGUUUGCUUUCUUGUGCUAAUGUUAUCACGAGUUUCUGUUUAAGUUUUGUGUUAUGAAGUUUUCAAGUUUUGGGUGAUGUUCUCAUGGACAAAGAGAUAAGGACUGGAAAGAUCUCAAGCUUGGGGAUGCCCAAGGCAUCCCAAAUCAAAUUCAAGGACACCAAAAAGCCUAAGCUUGGGGAUGCCCCGGGAAGGCAUCCCCUCUUUCGUCUUCAAUCCAUCGGUAACAUUACUUGGAGCUAUAUUUUUAUUCACCACAUGAUAUGUGUUUUGCUUGGAGCGUCUUGUAUAUUAGGAGUCUUUUCUUUUUGUUGUGACACAAUCAUCCUUGCUGCACAGCUUUUUGAGAGAGAGAGAGAGAGAGAUGCACUCAUCGUGAUUUUGCUAGAAUGCUCAUAGUGCUUCACUUAUAUCUUUUGAGCUAGAUAUUUUUGCUCUAUGUGCCUCACGUAUAUCUUUUAGAGCACGACGGUGCGUGAUUUGGUAGUUGGAUUAUGCUACGAAAGUAGUCCCAAAAGUGAUAGAUACCCAAAGAGGAUGAAAAAACCUCCAUAUUCAUGUGCAUUGAAAAGAAAGAGAAGUUUUGAUUCCUCUCAAAUAGUUUUGAGACAUGGAUUUGGUAAUAUUAAGAGUUAUGUUAGUAGGGUGUUGUGAAUCUAGAAAUACUUGUGUUGAAGUUAGUGAUUCCCGUAGCAUGCACGUAUGGUGAACCUCUAUGUUAGGAAGUCGGAGCAUAAUUUAUCUAUUGAUUGUCAUCCUAUGUGUUGAGGUCGGGAUCGCGCGAUGGUUUACACCUGCCAACCCUUCCCCUUGGAGUAUGCGUUUAGAACUUUGUUUCGGUUACUAAUAAAAAAAAUUGCAACAAGUAUGUGAGUUCUUCAUGACUAAUGUGAGACCAUGGUAUACAUGCACUUUCACCUUCCACCAUUGCUAGCCUCUCUAGUGCCGCGCAAUUCUCGCCGGUACACAAACCCACCAAAUUCCUUCCUCAAAACAGCCACCAUAUCUACCUACUAUGGCAUUUUCAUAGCUAUUCCGAGGUAUAUUGCCAUGCAACUCCCACCGUUUCGUCUCAUGACUUGUGCCGUCACUCUCAUAUUGCCAUUGCAUGAUCGUAAGAUAGCUAGCGAGAUGUUUCAACAUCAUACGCCAUGCUAGAUCGUUGCACAUCCCGGUACACUGCCGGAGGCAUUUCCUAUGGAGUCGUCAUCAUUGUGAUCUUUGAUCUGUGAGUAAAUAAAAGUGUGAUGAUCAUCAUUAUUAGAGCAUUGUACCAUGUGAGGAAAAAAAAAGAGGCCAAAGAGCCCAAAAAAAAGAGGCCUAAGAGCCCAAAUGAAAAAAGAGAGAAAAAGAGAGAAGGGACAAUGCUACUAUGUUUUUCCACACUUGUGCUUCAUGAUAGUACCAUGUUCUUCAUAAUUGAAAGCUUCUUGCUUUGUCACUACCAUAUUCUAGUGCGAAUCUUCAUUAUAUAACUUGGCUUGUAUAUUCCGACGAUGGGCUUCCUCAAAGUUUCCCUAGGUCUUCGUGAGCAAGCAAGUUGGAUGCACACCCACUAGUUCUCCUUUUGAGCUUUCACAUACUUAUAGCUCUAGUGCAUCUCUUGUAUGGCAAUCUCUACUCCUUCACGUUGAUAUAUAUUAAUGGGCAUCUCCAUAGCCUAUUGAUACGCCGAGUCAAUGUGACUAUCUCCUCCCUUUUUGUCUCACAACCACCAGCACACUCUAUUCCACCUAUAGUGCUAUAUCCAUAGCUCGCGCUCAUGUAUUGCGUGAUAGUUAUAAAAAAAUUGAGAAAGUAAGAGUGAGAAAACAAUUACUUGGCCAAUACCGGGGUUGUGCAUAAUUUACAUUACAUGUGUGAGGAUGAUGGAGCAUAGCCAGACUAUAUGAUUUUGUAGGGAUAACUUUCUUUGGCCUUGUUAUUUUGAAAGUUCAUGAUUACUUUGCUAGUUUGCUUGAAGUAUUACUGUUUUCAUGUCAGUUGCAAACUAUUGUUUUGAAUCUUACAGAUCCGAACAUUCAUGUCAUGUGAAAGAAGUUGCAAAGGACAACUAUGCUAGGUAGCAUUCCACAUCAAAAAUUCAUUCUUUAUCACUUCCCUACUCGAGAACGAGCAGGAGUUAAGCUUGGGGAUGCUUGAUACGUCUCCAACGUAUCUAUAAUUUUUGAUGGUUUCAUGCUAUUAUCUUGUCAAACUUUGGAUGUUUUGCAUGUCUUUUAUAUAUUUUUAGGGACUAACUUACUAAACCAGUGCCAAGUGCCAGUUCCUAUUUUUCCAUGUUUUUGACCCCUUUCAAAGGAGAUUUUGAAACGGAGUUCAAACGGAAGAAAAUCCCCAAAAACAUUUUUUCUGGAACGGAAGAAGAUCGGGAAGAUUGGGAGCCAAGGCAGGGGAGCCCCAGGGGCCCCACAAGCCCCCACCCCGCGGCCAGGGGGUAGACCGCGCCACCCAGGCUUAUGGGCCCCCUGAGCGUCCCCUGACCUAGGGGUUGCGCCUAUAAAUUCCCUAAAAAUCCCAAAAAAAUCAGGAGAUCAUCGAAAGUAUUUUUCCGCUGCCACAAGCUUCUGUCUCCGCAAGAUCCCAUCUGGGGCACGUUCUGGUGCCCUGCCGGAGGGGGGAUUCGGACACGGAGGGCUUCUUCAUCAACACCACGACCUCUCGGAUGAUCCGUGAGUAGUUCACCAUAGACCUACGGGUCUAUAGCUAGUAACUAGAUGGCUUCUUCUCUCUCUUGGAUCUUCAAUACAAAGUUCUUCAUGAUCUUCAUGGAGAUCUAUCCGAUGUAAUCUCCUUUUGCGGUGUGUUUGUCGAGAUCUGAUGAAUUGUGGAUUUAUGAUCAGAUUAUCUAUGAAUCUUAUUUGAGUUUCUUCCGAUCUCUCUUAUGCGUGAUUUCAUAUCCUUGUAAUUCUCUUCGAGUUGUGGGUUUUGUCUGGCCAACUAGAUCUAUGGUUCUUGCAAUGGGAGAAGUGCUUGGUUUUGGGUUCAUACCGUACGGUGACCUCACCCAGUGACAGAAGGGGUAGCGAGGCACGCACCAUGUUGCUGCCAUCAAGGGUAAAAGGAUGGGGUUUUCAUCAUUGGUUUGAGAUUAUCCCUCUACAUCAUGUCAUCUUGCUUAAGGCGUUACUCAGUUCGUCAUGAACUUAAUACACUAGAUGCAUGCUGGAUAGCGGUCGAUGUGUGGAGUAAUAGUAGUAGAUGCAGAAAGUAUCGGUCUACUUGUCUCGGGCGUGAUGCCUAUAUGUGUGAUCAUUGCCUUAGAUAUCGUCAUGACUUUGCGCGGUUCUAUCAAUUUCUCGACAGUAAUUUGUUCACCCACCGUGAUAUUUGCUAUUAUGAGAGAAGCCUCUAGUGAACACUAUGGCCCCCAGGGUCUACUCCACACCAUAUUUUCAGCCUUACACUUUUUACUUCGUUGCACUUUCCGCCUUCAGAUCUCACUUUGCAAACAAUCUUGAAGGGAUUGACAACCCCUUUGAAGCGUUGGGUGCAAGCUUGUUUGUGUUUGCGCACGUACUCUGGACUUGACGAGGCCCUCCUUCUAGAUCGAUACCUUGGUUCUCAAACUGUGGGAAAUACUUACUGCUCCUGUGCUGCAUCACCCUUUCCUCUUCAAGGGAAAAACCGACACAAACCAGAGAAGUAACAAGAAGAACUCCUAAGCGCCAGGGAAGGACUUUUGUUGCUGCAGCAUUGUGUCACAAUCAUCCUUGUUGCACACCUUUACAGAGAGACAUGCACUCAUCGUGAUUUUGCUAGAAUGAUCAUUGUGCUUCACUUAUAUCUUUUGAGCUAGAUAAUUUUGCUCUAUGUGCUUCACUUAGAUCUUUUAGAGGACGGCGGUGCGAGACUUGGUAGUUGGCUUAUGCUUUGAAAGUAGUCCCAAAGGUGAUAGGUACCCAAAGAGGAUACAAAAACCUCCAUCUUCAUGUACAUUGAGUAGAAAGAGAAGUUUUGAUUCCUCUCAAUUAGUUUUGAGACGUGGAUUUGGUAAUACUAAGAGUUAUGUUAGUAGGGUGUUGUGAAUCUAGAAAUACUUGUGUUGAAGUUAGUGAUUCCCGUAGCAUGCAUGUAUGGUUAACCGCUAUGUUAGGAAGUCGGAGCAUAAUUGAUCUAUUGAUUGUCAUCCUUUGUGUUGAGGUCGGGAUCGCGCGAUGGUUAACACCUACCAACCCUUUCCCUCGGAGUAUGCGUUUUGCACUUUGUUUUGAUUACUAAUAAAAACUUUCGCAACAAGUAUGUGAGUUCUUCAAGACUAAUGUGAGUCCAUGGUAUAGAUGCACUUGCACCUUCCACCAUUGCUGGCCUCUCUAGUGUCGCGCAAUUCUCGCCGGUGCACAAACCCACCAAAUGCCUUCCUCAAAACAGCCACCAUAUCUACCUACUAUGGCAUUUUCAUACCAUUCCGAGAUAUAUUGCCAUGCAACUCCCACCGUUCCAUCUCAUGACUUGUGUCGUCACUGUCAUAUUGCCAUUGCAUGAUCGUAAGAUAGCUACCGAGAUGUUUCAACGCCAUAUACCAAGUUGGAUCUUUGCACAUCCCGGUACACUGCCGGAGGCAUUUCCUAUAGAGUCAUUUCUAAGCUUUGAGCUGUGAGUAAAUAAAAGUGUGAUUAUCAUCAUUAUUAGAGCAUUGUCCCAUGUGAGGAAAAAAAAGAGGCCAAAGAGCCCAAAUAAAAAAAAGAAAAAAAGAGAAAAAAAAGAGGCCUAAGAGCCCAAAUAAAAAAAGAGAGAAAAAGAUAGAAGGGACAAUGCUACUAUCUUUUUCCACACUUGUGCUUCAUAAUAGCACCAUGUUCUUCAUGAUUGAGAGCCUCUCGUUUCGUCACCAUCAUAUGCUACUACCUCCGUCCCGGUGUAUAAGUCAUUCGCGUAGUUCUAGGUCGACAAUUUAACUAUCUAAAUAUGUAUAAUAUGUGACAAAAAAUAUAUAUUUAGAAACUACAUCAGUAUAGAAAUCUAGUGAUGUAUUUUUCAUGACAUAUAACACAUAUUUAAUUCCUUAAAUCGAUGACCUAGAACUACGCGAAUGACUUAUACACCGGGACGGAGGGAGUAGUGGGAAUCUUCAUUAUAUAACUUGGCUUGUAUAUUCCAAUGAUGGGCUUCCUCAAAAUUGCCCUCGGUCUUCGUGAGGAAGCAAGUUGGAUGGACACCCACUAGUUCUCCUUUUGAGCUUUCACAUAUUUAUAGCUCUAGUGCAUCCUUUGUAUGGCAAUCCCUACUCGUUCACAUUGAUAUCUAUUAAUGGGCAUCUCCAUAGCCUUUUGAUAUGCCGAGUCAAUGUGACCAUCUCCUCCUUUUUGUCUCACAACCACCACCACACUCUAUUCCACCUAUAGUGCUAUAUCCAUGGCUCACGCUCAUGUAUUGCGUCAUAGUUAUAAAAAGUUUGAGAAAGUAAGAGUGCGAAAACAAUUACUUGGCCAAUACCGGGGUUGUGCAUGAUUUACAUUAGUUGUGUGAGGAUGAUGGAGAAUAGCCAGACUAUAUGAUUUUGUAGGGAUAACUUUCUUUGGCCUUGUUAUUUUGAAAGUUCAGGAUUACCUUGCUAGUUUGCUUGAAGUAUUAUUGUUUUCAUGUCAAUAGCAAACUAUUGUUUUGAAUCUUACGGAUCUGAACAUUCAUGUCACAUGAAAGAAGUUGCAAAGGACAACUAUGCUAGGUAGCAUUCCACAUCAAAAAUUCAUUCUUUAUCACUUCCCUACUCGAGGACGAGCAGGAGUUAAGCUUGGGGACGCUUGAUACGUCUCCAACGUAUCUAUAAUUUUUUAUGGUUUCAUGCUAUUAUCUUGUCAAACUUUGGAUGUUUUGUAUGCCUUUUAUAUCUUUUUUGAGACUAACCUAUUAACUCAGUGCCAAGUGCCAGUUCCUGUUUUUUCCAUGUUUUUGACCCCUUUAGCAGGAAGAUUUUAAAACGAGUCCAAAUGGAACGAAACUGCCAAAAAGAUUUUUUUUGAAACAGAAAAAGAUUGGGAAGCAUGAGAAUCAGGGCGGGGGGCCAGCAGGGACCCCACAAGCCCCCUAGCCGCGGCCACGGGGCCCGCGCCUCCCAGGCUUGUGGGCUCCCUGGGCCACCUCUACCCUAGGUCUUUCACCUAUAGAUUCCCUAAAAUCCCAGAAAUAAUCAGGAGAUCAUCGAAAGUACUUUUCCGCCGCCGCAAUCUUCUGUCUUCGCAAGAUCCCAUCUGGGGCACGUUCUGGUGCCUUGCCGGAGGGGGGAUUCAGAUACGGAGGGCUUCUUCAUCAACACCAUGACCUCUUCGAUGAUGCGUGAGUAGUUCACCAUAGACCUACGGGUCCAUAGCUAGUAGCUAGAUGCCUUCUUCUCUCUCUUGGAUCUUCAAUACAAAGUUCUCCAUGAUCUCCAUGGAGAUCUAUCCGAUGUAAUCUUCUUUUGCGAUGUGUUUGUCGAGAUCUGAUGAAUUCUGGAUUUAUGAUCAGAUUNGUAAUUUGUUCACCCACCGUGAUAUUUGCAAUUUUGAGAGAAGCCUCUAGUGAGCACUAUGGCCCCGGGGUCUACUCCACACCAUAUUUUAAGCCUUACUCUUUUUCUUCGUUGCACUUUCCGCCUUCAGAUCUCACUUUGCAAACAAUCUUGAAGGGAUUGACAACCCCUUUAUAGCGUUGGGUGCAAGAUCUUUUGUGUUUGUGCAGGUACUCUGGACUUGACGAGAUUUUCCUACUGGAUUGAUACCUUGGUUCUCAAAGUGAGGAAAAUACUUACCGCUCCUGUGUUGCAUCACCCUUUCCUCUUCAAGGGAAAAACCAACGAAAGCAAGUCUCCGUCAACAUGUCAAAUUCUGGCGCUGUUGUUUGAGAAGUAGUAAUAACUUUCUUUGGCCUUGCUAUUUCGAAAGUUCACGAUUACUUUGCUAGUUUGCUUGAAGUAUUAUUGUUUUCAUGUCAAUACCAAACUAUUGUUUUGAAUCUUACGGAUUUGAACAUUCAUGUCACAUAAAGAAGUUACAAAGGACAACUAUGCUAAGUAGCAUUCCACAUCAAAAAUUCAGUCUUUAUCACUUCCCUUCUCGAGGACGAGCAGGAGUUAAGCUUGGGGAUGCUUGAUACGUCUCCAACGUAUCUGUAAUUUUUUAUGGUUCCAUGCUAUUCUGUUGUCAAAAUUUGGAUGUUUUGUAUGCCUUUUAUAUCUUUUUGGGACUAACUUAUUAACUCAGUGCCAAGUGCCAGUUCCUGUUUUUUCCGUGUUUUUUACCCUUUUCAGAGGAGGAUUUUAAAUGGUGUCCAAACGAAAUAAAACUUCCGAAAAGAUUUUUUCCUGAACAGAAGAUACGCGCCAGACUUGAGAACCAAGGCAGGGGCCAGCAGGGGACCCCACAAGCCCCCUAGGCGCGGCCAGGGGGGCCCGUGCCUAGCAGGCUUGUGGUCCCCCUAUGGCAUGUCUGCCCUACCUCUUCCGCCUAUAAAUCCAGAAAAAUUCCAAAACUGCGCGAGAGAUCAACGAAAAUACUUUUUCGACGCCGCAAGCUUCUGUCUCCACAAGAUCCCAUCUGGGGCACAUUCUGGUGCCCUGCCGAGGGGGGAUUCGGAUACGAAGGGCUUCUUCAUCAACACCAUCACCUCUCCGAUGAUGCGUGAGUAGUUCACCAUAAACCUUCGGGUCCAUAGCUAGUAGCUAGAUGACUUCUUCUCUCUCUUGGAUCUUCAAUACAAAGUUCUCCAUGAUCUUCAUGGAGAUCUAUCCAAUGUAAUCUUAUUUUGCGGUGUGUUUGUCGAGAUCCGAUGAAUUGUGGAUUUAUGAUCAGAUUAUCUAUGAAUCUUAUUUGAGUUUCUUAUGAUCUCUCUGAUGCAUGAUUCUUGCAAUGGGAGAAGUGCUUGGUUUUGGGUUCAUACCGUGUGGUGACCUCACCCAGUGACAGAAGGGGUAGCGAGGCACGCAUCAUGUUGUUGCCAUCAAGGGUAAAAAGAUGAGUUUUUCAUCAUUGGUUUGAGUUUAUCCCUCUACAUCAUGUCAUCUUGCUUAAGGCAUUACUCUGUUCGUCAUGAACUCAAUACACUAGAUGCAUGCUAGAUAGCGGUCGAUGCGUGGAGUAAUAGUAGUAGAUGCAGAAAGUGUCGGUCUACUUGUCUCGGACGCGAUGCCUAUAUGUAUGAUCAUUGCCUUAGAUAUCGUCAUGACUUUGCACGGUUCUAUAAAUUGCUCGAUAGUAAUUUGUUCACCCACCGUAAUAUUUGCUAUUUUGAGAGAAGCCUCUAGUGAACACUAUGGCCCCGGGGUCUACUUGACACCAUAUUUUCAGCCUUACUCUUUUACUUCGUUGCACUUUCCGCCUUCAAAACUCACUUUACAAUCAAUCUUGAAGGGAUUGACAACCCCUUUAUAGCGUUGGGUGCAAGCUCUUUUGUGUUUGCGCAGGUACUGUGGACUUGACGUGAUUCUCCUACUGGAUUGAUACCUUGGUUCUCAAACUGAGGGAAAUACUUAUUGCUCCUGUGCUGCAUCACCCUUUCCUCUUCAAGGGAAAACCCAACGCAAGCUCAAGAAGCAGCAAUAUGCCAAGAUGAAUCCAGUUCCUUCUUGAUUCUCCCAGUCUCGACCUCGACAUCAACACAUAAUUCUGGACAGGGAAAAGCAAAUAAUAAAAAAACCAGAGGUGAGCAAGAUAUCAAAGCAAUGCAAGAAUCAUUCAGGUCGUUGGCUUACCUUUGAGCUUCUCACUCGUCUUAUUGCCGAACUCCUCGAUAUACUGCUCCAACUUGAGCUUCUUGGAAGAGACAUGCUUUAAUUUGGAUUCCCACUUGGCAUAAUGCUUCUUCAUCUUGACACGCUCCUCCGUGGACUUCUUCACAGCAGCCUCUAGAGUUUUCUUCUCCUCCUAUAGCUUCUCGAGUGACUUCAACUUUUCCGCGGCCACCUUGGUCUUCAAACUGGCCUUCUUCCAAGCCGAUGCCAGCUCUGUGUCCUUCUUCUCAAGGGCCUCCUUCAUGGUGUCUAAAGAAAUAGAAGUCGGGAACCUCUUAGCAAGUUGAAGGUUUUCACUAUGAACAUCUGAUAAAAUGAUCUUAGUCAGACACACAGAAAAAAAGAACUAUGGCAGUCGUACAGAAUGCGCUUACCUUUGAGUGAGUGUUUCUCCUACUUCAGACGCACAUUCUGAACAUUCUCAUCCUCCAGAAUGAUGCGUAGGUCCUGAACCUCCUUUUCCAUGGCAUUGUAACAUUCUCAGCCUCCAGACCGAGCUCGCAGACACUCUGCCAAUAGGAAGCAGAGACGUGGUAACUUUAUCAAACAAACUUCAAAGAAAGAAACUCCAAGACUCCUGUCAACUGAAACAGUCGAUGGCAGUCUCAGGGACUACACCCACUUGGUGCGCUCAGCGCAUCCUCACUGGAAGGGUAGGUGGUCGGAUGCUUCCACAAGCUAAGCAACAAGUUCUAUACCCCGACUAUCACCGCAUCCUCUUCGACAAGUACCACUCCGUCUACUUCCACAAGCUAAGCAAAAUGUUCUAUGCCCCGACGGUCUGUGUCGAUGAAAGAACAAUUGCUCCCUAAGUUGGUUUUGGUAAUUAAUAACAACAUAUGUAUCAUUGAACUAAUAAUUCUAUCCAAGUAUAUUUCAGAAAUUUCAAAGAUGCGUUAGCUAGCUAAAGGAUCGUGAGGAGAAGCCCCUUGAUGCAAGGAAAGGAAUAGCAUUGGACAAGCUUCAAGCAAGAGGACUCUACAUUUUAUAUUUGUGAGAAAUCACUUUUGAGUCCAUAGGAAAGCCAAUACUAUUAAAAGGGGGUGAGGUAUUUAUGAUGAAUUGGUUUCUCAAGUGCUUAGAGAUAGCCACCAAAACUAUUCAGUCAUUCUCCCACAAAUAUCUCUGUCCAAAGCCUUCACUUCAAAAUUAGUGCCACCAAGAAUUCUACUUCGGCCCUACCAAUUUUCCCAGUGACAAAUCCUUUGCCAAACCCUAAUCUCUUAGUAGAACCAACAUUCAUACCGAUGCCACCGAAAGAUAGUGACCAACUUUCUGAUAUCUCUAUUUCAAGAAUUGAAAUUUUCGAGGUUGAAAUUGGUGUCGCUGAGAAUUGGAAACUGUCCUAGGUCAUCGUAUCGGUACCACUGAGAUUUAUAUAUCGGUCUCACAGAGAAUUCAAAAGUUGCCACAUUUAGUGCAACUCGAUACCAUCGAGAUUCAUUUCGGUGUCACCGAGUUGGGAAAUAAUGUUGUAACGAUUGGAUUUUGGGAGAUACCUAUAUAUACCCCUCCACCACCUCUCACUCAUAGAGGAAGCACUCAAACACACACACACACAAACACACUUGCUAGAUUCAUUUUUCUGGGAGAGAGCCACCUACUCAUGUGUUGACAUCAAGAGAUUCCAAUCUAUCCAUUUGAAACUUGAUCUCUAGCCUCCCCAAGUUGCUUUCCACCAAAUCAACCUGUCCUACCGAUGCCAAAUCUGUGAGAGAGUGAUUGAGUAUUGAGGGGACUAUCUUUUGAAGCACAAGAGCAUGGAGUUCACCGUUCUACUGCAUCUAUUACCUUUUAUAGGGUGGUGCCUCCUAGAUUGGUUAGGUGUCGCUUGGGAGCCUCCUACUUCGUGUUGUGGAGUUGAACCAAGAAGUUUGUACGGGCAAUGAGAUCGCCUACUUCGUGAAGAUCUACCCUGAGUGAGGCUAAUCAUGUGUGGACGUAAGCCAUGGUGGAAUAGACAUGGCCGCUUCUUCGUGGACCACUUGUCGGUGGAGCCCUCCGUGGACUUUCGCAAUCGUUACCCUCUGUGGGUUCAAGUCUCCACUAACGUGGACCUAUGAUAGCACCACCUAUCGGAACCACGACAAAAAUCGCGUGUCAACCUUUAUGUUUGAUCUUCUUUCCCUAUCCUCUACAUUACAUUUGCAUGUCUUUAGUUUCCGCUGCGAUACUCCUAGAUAUGGAUGUGUAGGGUGAACUUGACUAGUCAGAAUUGCUAAAACUGGCCCACAACUAAAAUUGGGAAAAGACUAAGUUUUUAAUUGGGCAAGUAGUCUAAUCACCCCCUAGACAUACUUUGGAUCCUAUAAUGGUAUCGUAGCUUUGGUCUCCAUUGCAUUGGUUUCACAAACUAGGAGAGCAUGAUGUCUAAUGAGGGAAAUUACCAUUGUAUAGGUCCAUAUUUUGAUGAUACAAACUUUGCUAGUUGGAAGCAAGCAUAAGAUGGAAAUGCAUAUUCUUGGUCAUAACCCUGUCGUUUGGGCUGUUGUUCGUGUUGGUGUGCAAGGUGAUUUCUUCGGCGAUGGAAGGGAACCGGAUCACGAUGUGACAUCGGUAGAAUUGAAGAUGUUGCAAUAGAAUGGUCAAGCUUGCGACAAUUUUUUCAACUGCGUGUGUCCCGAAGAAUUCAACAAAAUCAGCCGCCUUGAGAAUGCAAAGGAAAUUUGGGAUACUUUCGUUGAUAUGCACGAAGGUACAAAAUAUGUCACGGAAUCUAAGUUGGAUGUGCUACAAAGUCAUCUUGAGAAGUUCAAGAUGAAGGACGGUGAAGGAGUCGCUGAGUGUACUCUAGGAUAGCUCUCAUCACAAACGGGAUUGUCGUCAUAGGAAGCGAAGAGAUGACCGAAAAAUUCAUCAUCAAGAAGAUACUUAGCACCUUGGAUGGAAGAUACGACACCCUAUGCACAUUGAUCCAAAUGAUGCCAAACAACAAGGAUCUCAAGCCAACAGAAGUCAUUGGAAGGAUUACCGCUCAUGAAAUGUCACUCAAGGACAAAGAUGAGCUACACAACAAGUCAAGCGCCGCUUACAAAGCUUCAAGUGAUACUCCUGCUACUUCAAAUGACAACCUUGUUACUAAUGAAGAGAUAAGCCUCAUGGUCUAGAAAUUCAACAAGUUCUACAAGAGUAGAGGCAAAGAUAUAAGCUAUAACUCAAGACAUGAAGAGAAGCGUUUAUCUAGUCAUGACAGAAACUGCUACAAUUGUGGAAAACCCGGACACUAUUGCAAUGAGUGCUCGGCUCCCCACAAACGAAGAGAAGAGUCACCUAGAAGACGAAGCUCAAGAGAAGAGUAACCUCAUAGAGAGAGAAGGAGUAGAGAAGAUCAUUAUGAAUGAAGACACUCCCGGAGAAAAAAGGAAUCAGAGAAGAAGGACAAGUACACCAAGGGCCACUCAAGAAGAAGACAUCAAGCUCAUGUUAGUGAAUAGGCAUCCGACUCCGAGUCUCACAACCAAUCCGAGAGAAGCGACCACUCCAAGUCCGACUAUAGUCAGGAUAAGGUGUUGCCGGUCUUGUACUCGUUUCCUCCAACUCCUACAUCAUAUUUGAUUCACCAAAUGAAGCGUUUGGAAACUGCUUCAUGGAAAAAGUCCCCAAGAUAUCACAACAUGAGUACCUUGACUUUGAUAGUGAUGAGGAUGACUUGUUAGGAGAAGAUGACUUGCUCUUUGGUAAAAGUAAUGACAAUGAUAAAAUGAACUUGAUAAUAAUCAUGCUAGUCAAGAUAAGUCGAAUGAUGAUGAUAAGAAAGAGAUUGAACGACUAACUAAAGAAUUAAACACUCUGAAUUAGCUCAUGAAAAUACGCUACAAGAUCAUAGAGAGCUUGCAAGAACUCAUGAGAAGCUACGCUUAGAGAAGCUAAAUUUAGAGCAAAAGCAUGAGUUUCUAAAAGCAAUCAAUGAUGAUCUUCAAAAGAACAGUUCUUCUUAUCUACCCAAAUGAUUACUCUUGUCUACUUUUGUUCCAUAAGUUAAAUACACGAACACUAGUAACAAAGGCAAGAAAGUCUCUUCAUCUAGUAACAAUAAUUAUAAAGUUAAAUCAAAUGAGUUUGUUGCUAGUAUCUUUCAUGAUUCCACUAAUGGUUCUCUUAGGCAAGUUACACUUGAGCAAGAAAAAAAAUUAUUGAAAGGAAUUAUAGAGAGAGGUGUCUUAAAGAGUCUUGCCUAAAGUAAGCAAUUCGAGGAAAUUGUAUGCAAGCAAGGAGGACAUCAGAAGAAGCAAGGUGUUGGCUACUUCAAUGCCAACGGAGUUGAAUGGGAAGAAGGUGAAUAUCCCAUCCCGAAGUUUGUUCCCUAAAAGGAGAAGUAUGAUCCUACUAUCCCCAAGGGAACAAGCUCUCAAGAUGACCUUCUACCACAAGACCACAAGGGCAAGGGCAAGCUUCAAGAGGAGAUUGACUCAUUCGAGGAAGAACCCCAAGCCAAGGUCAAGUGGAUUCCCAAGGACACUACUAGCUACACUUCAUCUAGUGCUACCACAACUCCAAGGAUCCCCCUCAAGAUGAUGUGGGUCCCCAAGAAGAAGAACUAGAGAAUUUCUUGAUGGGUGACACCGCCAAUGAAACUCACUCUUAUUCAUUUUGGCAAGAACUAUUUGCAAUCAACUGUAACCUUAUGCAUUAGUUCAAGGAGUCACACAUUCCCUCAAAGGUAAGCAAGGGACAAAGUAAUUAAUGUAUCUUUGGACAUUAUCUCACAUGCACUUCAAUCCAUGUCCAUAGAUAUCCUUGUGCAUGUUCCUUGUGCUUUGGGACUAAACCAUGUAGGUGAGAAGAGUAAGAUACAACAAGGAUUGCUCCCAACUCAAGAUGAUAUUCUUCAACAAUGAGCAUCUACCACUACUACACCUACAUGAAGUCUUCUACGACAAAACCCAAUGUUAGUUUAUCCCUCUUAGGGGGAUGUCACAUCAAGGGGGAUCUUUACUCUAAGACUUGAGUAUAAGCAUCUCUUAAGAUGUGAACACACUGAAAUCUUUAUGUAAAAGUGGUAACCCCACUUGUGCUUAAGCGAUGAGUAUGACCUAUGAUCAAGUAUUCUUACUUGGCUCCUAUGUCAAUAUACUCAUAUAUAGAUGACCUCGUCAUCGCCCAAAGUGCUUGGUAGAUACUAGAGUGUUUGUGCAUAUUUCACCAUGUUUAUUUGACAUCUUAUUGCGUGAGCAUGUUGGUAUGCAUAUUCUUGCUCAUUCGAGGAUAUCCAAUUGUUUUUAUUUUGCUUUCAAUUUUAUUUGGCCAACUCGAUAUACAAGAAUGCUUAAGUACCUCUCUCUUGCUAUCUAUACUUACUUGUCUGAAAUUAUAUUCAUGCUACAUCACAAAAUUUGAGCAAGCAGUUUAGGGACACUCCAUGUGAGGAGCACUCGGAGAUCCAUCUCGACAAGGGCUGACUUCCAAAACAUCCCAAAGUGCAUCUCGGUGUGACCAACCUCAAAGACUCAGUCCCAUCGAAGCCUAGGGUUGAUCUGGUUUUUCAAUCUCGGUACCACUGAUAGAACUUUUUCGGCCUCACCGAGUUUCAUUGUCACCUGACAGUUAUGGAACUCGCUGGCACCGAAAAAUCCAACUCGGUGUCACUGACAGCCAGGGGGUAUAUAUUCCUCGUGGACUCGACGUUUGAAAUUACUACUUCAAACUCGCCUCCCCGCACCUCCUCGUUGUCGUGCCCUCGUCCCCAGGACAUCGCCGUUAUCUCCCGUGCGCCCUCGCCGCUGGAGUCCUCACCGUCCAUGGGAAUCAUCGCCGCCGUCAUUACCGUAGCAAGAUCUUCACCAAGUUAGGGUAAGAUCUCGGCCCUCUUUGCACUCCACAACUCCAAAUCUUGCGCAAUUAGGAACUGCCAUCAUCAAUCCAUGAAUGAAAUUCUCCUAUGCAGAAGAAACUUCGAAUAGAUUUUAGAACGAAGAAGGUUUUAGGGUUAACAGUCUGCAAAACCGAAUCUCGGUGUUAGGGCUACUGAGAUCAGUCUCAGUGAAACCGAGUUACACUUUUUGGUGGAACCAAAAAGUGUUCCAAUUUUCUGUUAAGGAGAUUGCCACUCAAGGUGGCUCCGAAAUUUUUGUCUCGGUGCAACCGAUAUCCCUUUUUGCAGAAAGUUAAACUUAAGAUUUUCCGAGUUCAAACUUGCAAAAACUUUUGAAUUUUUGUGAUGCUCAUCCACUCCAGCUCUUCUAAUUAUUUUCACAGGGUCAGCUUGUUUGCUUGGUUCUUUGUCAACAUGUCUGGUUCAGAGGACAGUCAGAAUGACAUUAGAGAGCCCACUGCUGAGAAGGAUUCAUGCACUAGUCCAUAGAGGACAACUUCUGACCCAGGUACUCCUAGUUCCCAUGAUUUUCCAAAGACGGCUACCCGGUCUAGGAAGAAGCUUAAUUAUGAUGAGGUGGAUGCAGAUUUUAUCCCAGAGGAGAGCACCCCUAGAAGCAAAAGUAGAGAGUUGGUGUCAAAAAUAUUGGGAGUAAAGAGUAUGCCAAACCAGAUUCAGUGAGAGUUCCAGAGGCUGCUCAGAGAAGGAUGAAGCUUACACUUGAGAACCCAUCUUCCAGGCAAGCUAAGAAGCCAGGGCAGAAAAGAGCCAGGAAGAGAGUGAUGCACGUUAUUGGAAGCCAGACAUCCAUGUAUGAAGAUCCAGCAGAAGCUGCUGAGGAAGAGGAAGAAGAGGUUGAUCCUAAUGCACCUCCACCUAAGAAGAAGAAGCUCAUGGUAGAUGCUAUGCCUAGCAGGUCUACACCUCAACAUUCAGUACCCAAGCCCAAGAAGCCAGUAGCUCCCAACAGGACUUCUAACGAUAUACCUAUAGCAGAGAAGAACAAAGGCUCUACAUCCAAAGAGGCUGGUGCAGAGGAGGAAGAUUAUGCAUAUGCGACGAGGAAACUGAGAGCUCACUUGCCACUGCAUAAUGAUUCCCAUCCUGUUGUUGAGGAUAUGAAGAAGAGGAGGGAUCAAGGUGUGAGAAAGUGGAGGUUUGUUGAUCCAUAUGCAGUCACGAGAAUAACUGUUGUCGAUCCUCGUUUCCACACUAAGGAGCAACAAGACUUUUAUGAGACAGUGUUGUUGGACAAGAGUCCUACAGUCAGUGACAUGAGAUAUGUUGACUCGGAUUACAUCAAGGCACAUGAGGACUACUUCCCUCAUGUGAGAGAGAACUUUAGGCUGAUUGACAUUGAAGCUUUUGUUGGCACAGAGAUGACAGCUUGGAAUGAUGAGAUGAUUAUGCAAUUCUAUUCAACCGCUCAUUUCUAUCUAGAUGGAAGGAUAGUGUGGAUGACAUAAGGUCACCGGUAUGAGUCUACCGUAGAUGAGUGGGCCACUAUCAUUGGUGUCCCUAAGACCCAAGACGGAGAUUUGGAUGUGUACUCAGAACCCAAGUUGAAUUCAUAACACUAUGGCAAAGAUGUAAAAUCCAGUGCCCCAUCAGUAUAUGAAGACACACAAAUUUGACUCUGUCUAUUUUCUGCAAGCAGGGAUACCAACUACGAACACCAUUAUGAGAUAUACCCUGAUGCCUAAAUCAGGAGAUGACAAGAUGAUCAGAGGGUAUUCCAUUAACAUGUUGCACCAUUUGGAUACCCACACCACAAUCAGAGUGAUGAAUCUCGUAGUAGAGACUGUCAGGAGAACUUCUGCAGAUCAGAAGAGAUCUUGUGGGUAUGCACCAUACAUUCAUAUACUUUCAAUGCCAAGAUUGGCAAGCAUGCAUAUCAACUUGAUCAGCCACACCCGCCGCUUUAGCCAAAGUUCCAGGUCAACGAAGUUGUGAUGGACCCCAGACAUCCCAGCUCAGCUACAGUGCAUCAGCAUGCAGAGGUAGAGACAGCCAGGGAUGUUCCAGCUCCACAGCUCCGGACUAGAGAGGAGCAGAUGUUGUUUCUUGUCAGCACCAUCCAAGGGAUGGAGAAGAGUAUUUCAGAGAUCUUGUUGAACCAGAAGAGCCUUGAGAGGAUCGUGGAGGCUAAAUUCCAUGACCUGGAUGUCAAAGCGAUAGAGUUGGCUACAACUAUUGAGCAGCUCCAGCAUGAGGUUGAUGGAGUCAAUAUAUCCCAUUCCAGCAGUGACGAUGAAUAGUCGCCUCUUCCUACGACUACUCGGUUCAUGAACCACUCUAGGUCUGCAGUUGUACCAGUGACGGAAGCAAGACCAACUUCAUCAGCUUAAGCAUCAAAGCCUUCAGCUCCAACUCCUGCACCUCCAGUGUCUAUGCCUCCACCACUAGGGACAUCCGCAGAAGCCUUCGUCGAUGCUCUCUUGUCUACUCCAUCGACCGCUACCGGAGGAAAUCGAGCCCACAGCGACGCUUAGUUCGAGACUUUUGAACUUUUUGGUAACUUGUUGCCAAAGGGGAGGAGUGUAAAGAUCAUUUAGGGCUUCCAGAGAGAGAUAGCUUUGCUUUUAUUUUCUCUCGGUUGUUUUUUUCAAAACUUUUAGUCUUUUGGAUGACUUAAACUUUCGUGUUUGAUCAUACACUUUGAUUGUUAAUGCUACUAUGUUAUACCUUUGAGCUAUCUACAUGAUGAUCAUUCACUUAUCUAUUUGGUGUUAUGUGCAUUACUAUUAAUUCAUAUCAUUUAUGCGCACCACUAAGAUGUAUGUGACAUGGAAGAGUGACCAUGAUCCUAAUCGAUUGUGCAUUUGCAUUCAGAUGCAAAUUUAAAAAAUGCAAAAAUUUAGGGGGAGCUCUUGCUUUUCACAUACUUCUCAAACCGAUGAUGCUAAUCAUUGCUUAUAUAUUUUGUCGAAGCUUUGAUCUAUAUGUUGUCAUCAAUUACCAAAAAGGGGGAGAUUGAAAGCACAAUUGCUCCCUAAGGUGGUUUUGGUAGUUAAUAACAACACAUGUAUCAUUGAACUAAUGAUUCUAUCCAAGUAUAUUUCAGAAAAGUUCAAAGAUGCAUUGGCUAAAGGAUUGUGAGGAGAAGCCCGUUAAUGCAAGGAAAGGAAUAGCAUUGCCAAGCUUCAAGAAAGAGGACUCCACAUUUUAUAUUUGUGAGAAAUCACUUUUGAGUCCAUAGGAAAGUCAAUACUAUUAAAAGGGGGUGAGGUAUUUAUGAUGAAUUAGUUGCUCAAGUGCUUAGAGAUAGCCACCAAAACUAUUUAUUUGGUUGUUCAAUAACUCAAAAAAUUUGUCUAGACAGAUCAGUACCAAAUCCAAUUCUACAUAUGGGGUGUUUCCAGAAAUGAGCCAUGUUGCUUCCAGCCUCAUUUAAAAUGCCUAGAUCAUGUAUUCUUUUAUGCUCCACCUCUUGCCACGUAAACACCAUUUAAACUUUUUGGAUAAGUAAAUAAGAGUGAACUAAAUAAUCCUAAUGUGGAGUUUCGUCAAUAUGCAACCCGUUCAUAUUGAUAUUCACUUAAUGUGUAGCAUUGUUUGUUGUGCUUGCCAUCUCGUGCAUAUUUAAACUUGGUCUUGCAUCAUACUUGGUUGCGCGUCAUACCUGGUUGUGUGUUUAUUGGUUGUUAUUUUUCCUUGGGUAGCAUCGAGUGUCGAGUACGAGUAUGAGGAUCCCAUUGAGAACGUUCCUGAAGAGCAAGAGUUUUACACCUCAGAAGAAGUGCCACGCAAGAUGAUCGCUGACCUUGAUAUCGUUUCUAAUUUUGUUAUGCUUAACUGUCUCGUUUCCAUCGUUAAUUAUCGCUGCCUACCACCUCAAUAUCAAGCCUCUCAAAAUGCCAUGAAAAGCCUCUAACCCUUCCACAUCCUAGCAAACAUUGAUUGGCUAGGUUAGCGUUUGCUCAACCUUGUUAUAGAGUUGCUACUUGCAGGUGCAGGUUGAUCCAUGUGUUGACAUGGAUAUUUGGAAUAUCAUCUUAUUAUUGCUAUUUAAUUUAAUGCACCUAUAUACUUGAUAAAAUGCGGAAGGCUUGGCCUUUUGCUCAGUGUUUCUUUCUGCUUUUGUCGCCCUAGUUUCGGUUACCGUUGUUAUGUUCCAUGUUGACCGCUCCUAACACGCUUGGGGUGUAAUGGGUACGCCCUUGACAAAUCAUUUUGGGUUUAAAACUCGUCUAGCAAGACCCAGCUUUGGUACUCCAUUUGCUAAACAACUUAAUAAUAAAAAUGCAUAGGGAAUAGCUACCCCAUGGAUAAUUAAUCAACCCUCGGGCUAAUACUCCUCACGAGUGUUGGUCCAAACUAGAGCAUCAUACAGGUCCAACCCGAUGCAAAUUAGGAGAUGUCUAUUAGGCCACCGUAUCCUUCGCUUAUCCGAUGUGUCCUGAGAGCGAGAUACGCGACUCUUGUCGGGGUCGUCGCCACGUUGGGCGGUCUUGAUGGAUUUGUUUUACCCUUCUUGAUAUAUCUUUUGCAUCAGGAUUUCGAGGAUACUUUGGGCUAUCUCAAGGUUGAUGGUUUCCAUCAGGAAUAUGGGGAGAUCACGGGUUUUCCAUGGUUGAGGUUUCCUACGCAGCUUGUGGUAGUUUGUGAUGGACUAGUUGGUGCAACCUUGUAGGGUUAAUAUCUUUCAGAAAGUCGUGCCCACGGUUAUAUGGCAACUUGAAAAUUUGUUUAACAUCCACUUAUAGAAAACUUGAAGUAAACUUAACUGAAAUAUGCCAACUGUGUGUGAAUGAUACUGUCUCUGCUAGUGAGUUUCUACUCUGACUGAGGACAAGGUGGGGUUAUGACUAACGUAAGUAGGUGUUGAGGAUCACUUCUUAAUCAUUACUAGAUCACAUAUGUUCAUACGUAGACCACUCAAUUUUAAUUAUGUUCUCGUAAGCUAGCCACCAUAUAAUGCUUAGUGCUGCUGCAACCUCACCACUUGACAUUACCUCACCCAUUAACUUAGUUAGUCCCGAUAUCUUGGUCACGAGAUUGCUGAGUCCUUGUGGCUCAUAGAUUACUACAACACCACAGGUCCAGGUACCGCAGAUCCAGAGGCUUACGAUGCUUCGCAACUCCAGUGGGAGUUUGAUGAGGAGACCAGGCGCAUGUAUGUGACGUACCCUGACGAGUAGAGGGCCUUGGUCGUCUCCUAGGAUAGCGAGACAGACUCAUUGCAUUUUUAUCAUUUGAUUUCGUCCGUAGCCAGACCCUGUCUUGUGGAUGUUGAAUAAAUGUUGUGUGAUUUGUAAUUUAGCAUGUGGCAAGUGUAAGCUAAUCCAUAUACAUAUCUCUUCAUAAGUGUAUCUGCAAUGAUUUCUUUACUUGCGAAACGUCGAGAUGAGUCUAUAUCCAUAUUAAGGCUUCGUCUCCAAAUGCAGAUAGUGUCGCAUCUUGCACGUUACACUACUAUUACCAGUAACUCAUGUAGUUAAAGGUUGCCAUUAGUAGAAAUCGUCGUCAUAAUGACAUUAACUCACCCUUGUAAUGAUGCUCAACGGCCCCAGGCGUACCCUAUAUAAGCCGCCCUCGAGCUCCAGGAAAAGAGUUCAACACCCUGUUGUAUUCACACCCCUAGAGAAAACACUAGCCUCCGGGCAUGAGACAUAGGGUAUUUCCUCCUUCGAGAGGGACUCGAACUCGUAGAAUCCGAGUGUUACAUUACACCUCUGCCACAGCUAGGCUCCGCCCCUCAUUCGUACCCCUAGUACUAUUGCCAGGAUCGUUCCCUCGACAAAUGGAAGUCCCUCAACCAUCAACGGUACACCAUCCAAGAGGUCGUGUCCAAGUUUGCGGGCACUUGAAGCAGCUCAUCGCACGAUGGCCUAGCAGUGCACAAAUCACCGAGGAAGUAAGUUGAUCACUAGCCGGGUAUGCUUUAGUUUUGUUGUUCACUAGACAAAUAUGCAUUGUCGACAUUGUUUCACUUUGUAGACUACUCGUGCUUGUGUGGUGUACAAGAAGUUGGAGAAGAAUUCCUUCACCAUCAUGCAUUGUUGGGUCAAGUCGAAUGGGCAACCGAAGUGGAACCUUUUUAUUGCCAAGACCGCCCUUUAAGCCAAUGAGGAAGACACACGUGACCUUACCGACCCAACCGAACAACCACCAAAGAAGGUUAGAAAAAAUUGCGGGAGAAGAAGUGGGAGGAGGAGAGGGCGAAGCGAGACAUGCGACGACCAAGAUGACGGAGAAGUUCGAGGACAUCUUGACGAAGAAGGAGGAGGCAUGCGUUAGGCGCUCGGAGAUCAAGGAGGAGGAGAAGGCACACAGAAUCAAGCUGUUGAUAGACGAGACGGAUAAGAAGCUUGCGCUCAAAGAGAGGAGGACCAUGAUCGGAGAGAGAAAGGUCGCGCUCGAGAAAAAGAGGAUGAAGAUCGCCGCCAAUGUGGAGGACGCCAAGUUGUUGAUCUUGAAUGACGACUCGUUGAAUGUCGCGCAAGAGUCAUCGUGCAAUCCUACCGGUACCAGAUGUUGCAGCGGCAAAAAAAAGAGUGGGCGGCGACCACACACUUUGAGGAUGCGGUGGAGGCGGACGCAGAGGCGGACGAGGAGGUUGCCUGCUAGGUUUUGAUCACACCUCCUUGAUCACGGAGCAGCUGACUGGGAUUUUGGUCCAACGUGGCAGAAAUGCACGGACCGUCGGACUAUUGUUUUUUUGGAGUCGGGCAAGGAAAAACUGAGCCUAUUUACCUCAUUUUGCUCUGAUCGGGCAUGCGACGGCGCACGACGUGUUAUGUGAAUUGGAUCGAAGUAUAUUUAAAUUUAAAUUUGCUGACGGAUAUAUAUACAUGUUAGCUUUGGAUGUCGUCCUCCUACGUCCCGUGUCCGCGGAUUGAUCCCUGUGUGAAAUGCGGAAGGAAAUUUGCGAUGACUUAUGAAAAGUUAGCGGUACAACGCAUGCAGCUCCCACGGCAAGGCUUACUGUUGCUAAUUAACUCCGGCCCAUACCAAUCGUGGCAAGUGGGCAGCAACGCCGGCGACCCUACUGAGAAAAAUCCGAGGUGCUGUUUACCAGUUUACGCGGCAACUCGUCCCGUGGAGGUCGGUCAGUCGGUCAGGUCAGGUCACCCAUCACGCUGCGCACUGCCAUUCCUCAGCCCGGGUCCCCAAAGCCCCGUCCGCCGGUUCCUCGUCCCCGCGAUGCACCGUCUUUUCGCCCUGCGCCAACUGCUGUGGCGCGACGAGAGCGACACCGCACACGCCGCACCGGCCUACCACCCAGGCAGGAUAAGCCCGGCCACGCGGUGAGGCCAACUCCACCGUGUGACCCCAAAACGUCCGUGUGUGUCCGUUUAAGAUAAAACAAACAAAAUAGACGAUCCAUCGCACGGAAGCAUAUCCAUCUUUUGCCAUGUCCGUGUCUGUUUGUACCCUAUUUUCAGAUCAAAGUUGGUCUGUGUUUGGGGCCAAAGCGGACAGAAAACGUCCGCCUUCGCGUCCUCUUCGUCCGCUUGUUUCCGCAUCUGGUCCACUUGUCACCCUCUCUCUCCCCAUUUUCCCUCCCGUGACAGACACAUCUACAGUAGACAGCAGCGGGAGCGGCAGCGGCAGGACACGGGCGCCGAGGCGGCCGCGGUGCUCAAGCUCGCCGUCGGCCUCGCGCGCCGACGCGGGCGGGGGAAUGGCGCGGGCGGUGCGCGGNCUUUGUCCAGCCUCUGUCCGACGUCCGCUGUCCGUUUUCUAUCCUAAAACGGAUAAAAUUCGAACGAAACCGGACAUCCGUUUAGGACGGCGGUGGAGUUGGCCUGACGCCGCGAGGCGCGAGGGAGGGGGCGUGGUUCCUUCCGCUUCCACGCACGCUCGCUCGCUCGCUCCGCAGGCGGCUCCGCGGCACCUCUCGCCAUGGCAAGCAAUAUUGGGAUGGCACUGCCAUUCGGGCCGGGCGCCGGGCCCUCGCCUUAUCGCGUCCCGGAUUCCUCCGGGACCCGCCCGAAAGGACGGACCUCACCGUGCAGGCACAAAAUCGCUGGCCACCCCCACCCAGAUCACCACGGAAUCUCCACCUGCGCCCCCUGCUUCUCCAGCGCUAUGUCGAGAAAAGAAAUACACAAGCCUUUUCGCGCGAACGAUCGAUUCGGGACGUCUACUACUCCUAUACAUGAUUUAGGUUUUGGCGUUAGUUCUUGCGUAAGCACCAAAGGAAGGCUGCUGGUUGCUACGACGACUUUGAUUAAUUAAUUAUUAGUUGGCGGAACAAAAACAUGAAUUCAGAAGAAUAUGCGAGGCGAUGACGCCGACGCCGACGACUACUAAUUACCAUUGUUAACGCUUGAUUGAUGCCCACCCAGCCAAUGCAAGCGAGUUAGAUAUAGAUAGAUAUUAGCACCGGUUGGGUUGGGGUUGUGGUUGGACUUGAGCAAGCAACAGCGCACCUACCAUAUCAAAAGCUAAGCAUCACGCCGAUCAUCACGUUUGCUCCAGUGGCCCCCCCACACCCACACCCACACCCACACCCACUCUCACACACACACAUGCCCACGGCUAAGCUAAGCAUCCCAAAUAAUAAAACAGCUCGUGCAAGAACAAGGAUGCUUAUCUUCUUCUUCUUAAUCGAAGAGUAGGCAGCUCGUGCAACUUGCUCUUACAAAGUGAUAAAAAGAUUUAAACACCGAUUAUACUAGCAGGUGGAUAAACCCAAUAAAGUAGGUGCAGUGGAGCAGUGCGACACGCCGCUGCCUGUGACUGUCUUGUCACGCCUGAAGACAUGACAAGAUGAACACGUACUGAGUACCGAGUCACCACCGGGCCCAGUUCGGUACGCGUACGCAUGUCCUUCUUUUCCCUCUAGGCUCAGCAGCCUCAGCUCAGCUCAGCUCCUAGACGGCAAAGCCAGGUCAACUUCGUUAUCUGCGAUACAUGAUACUACUAUACGCGGUGAUAAGAUGGGCCAUGCACGACGUGGACAACCAACUGCCACGAGUUAUACUCAGCCAUAGGAGUAGAGCAAGCUCUAUCCUUCUCCAGGGCUUAUCCAAACGCCAUCCUUUUCUUUUGGCGGUGGGAUCACGUAACCAGACGUGAUUAUCCUUACGCAUAGUACACGGAUGAUGACAUGGAUAAUGAGUUCAGCGCUAGUGUUUAGCACAUGAACAGCGCAAAGAAAAAUGUUUACCACUGCAGCAGGGCCUGGUGCUACGGAUGCACAGGUGGGAAGGACAAGAAGAGCAAGGAGACAAGCUCGUGCACAGUCUCGAACUCUCGGUGCUUCCCCCAUGUCACCGCCAAGCAGGCCCACCCGCCAGUCCAUUCAUAAUCCAUCGCUAGUGCUAGUGCAUCGCAGUGAAAAGACAAACUUUUCUUCUCAACGAAAAGAAAAGAUGGAGAUGAAAACUGAGUACUCGUACGCCUCGAGAAAUAUUUCGAGUGCUCAUACGUGCUACAGGACAGACUCCUGCCAUUUUCUUCCCAGUCUUUUGAGGCCGGUAAAAUCGAUGCGGUAAAAAUACAGAAAAGAAAUACUACGGGGUAGACUUUGCGUGUCCCUCUCUACCCCGCGUACCACCAACGUACUCUACGUGCAGGUCAAGGUGCAGUAGUUUCUUCCCUCUCUCUUUUUAGUGUAUUUUCUACUGCUAGAACCGGGCGAGCGCGCGGCGGAGCACCUGGGCGAGGAGGCUGGGGGCGCUGAGGUGGGGGAGGUGGCCCUCCGUCGGCAGGGGCUCGAUGGUGGUGCGGCCGCCGAGGUGGGCCUUGAGGUACGCGGCGACGGAGGCCGGCACGGAGACGUCGCGGGUGGUCUGCACGACGACGCACGGCGCCUGCACCAUGCCCAGCACGCCGCGGAGGUCGGUCUUGAACACGCUCUGGCAGACGUGGAGCGAGAUGUCCGGCCGCAUGUUGAACAGCGUCCGGCUGAACUCCUGCACCGCCGCCGGCACGUCCGCGCCCACCGCCAGCGGCGCGUACCCCGUCGCCCACGCCGCGUAGUUGGCCGACAUCGCGUCGAACACCUGCUGGAUCUGCUCCAGCUCGAACCCGCCGUGGUAGUCGCUGUCGUUCAAGAACCUGCUCGAUCGAUCGAUCGAUGGAUGGAUUGCUCCGGUCAGUUGGUUUGCCGGCGAGGCGCCGCGUGCAAGGGAAGGAAGGACUGAUAAUAAUUGACCUAUCGAUAAGCGGUGCGAAUUACUCUACCACCGUACCGUACCCACCUAGGCGAGGCGCCGAUGAGGACGAGCUUGGCGAAGAGGUCGGGGCGGCGGAUGGAGGCGAGGAUGCCGAUCAUGGCGGAGACGGAGUGGCCGACGAAGGCGCAGCGCGGGAUGCGGAGCGCGUCGAGGAUGGAGAGCAGGUCGUCCACGUAGGCGUCCAGGUUGUUGUAGCGGCGGAAGUCGAAGUGGUCCGGGUUGACGCUGCCGGCGCAGACGAGGUCGUAGAGCACCACGCGGUGGUCGCGGGUCAGGUACGGCAGCACGCGGCUCCACGCGGACUGGUCCGUGCCGAAGCCGUGCGACAGCACCACCACGCGCUCGCCGGUGCCCACCACCCGCACGUUCAGGAUCUGCAGCAGCUUCGCCCCGCUCGGCGCGCCCCCGACCAUC
rnacentral:lncRNA from 1 species